CAAUUGCUUUUAAGGCUUCCGGCUCUAGUGCAUCGAACGUGUUCACUAGAAUGGUCGGGUGGGUUUCUCUCUCCAGCAGAUCCAUAUGUUCUUGAAGCAACGGGAGGACGAAAGUGUACGGAUUUGUAUCCACCAUGAAGGAGGGAAGGUCUUGGCUUGUAAGAGAUAAUGGCAAACCUGGUAACUCUAUUGCACAUGGAAGGGCAUCGUUCGUACCAGAACUAGUAUUAUCCCGGAUGAGAUCUUUGUACCCGUUAAAGUAAUAGUAGUAGAUGUCGAAAACCGUGGCUGGUUGAAUCCAAAGCAGCACAUUUGGGAGGUGAAGUUCAUGUGCCACGUCCGCGGCCCAAGGGAGAAGUAUUGUGUAGACUAGGCAAGUAUAAGGGUGACCCUCGUUUGCACUUGAGACUACAAGGUCGGUGAUGGCUUGUGCUCCGCGGCGCCGCAACUCCGACCAGUAGUGGUCGAUGUUGUCGCCGGGCUUAAACCCGUCGUCGUACCCAUCAGAGAAGGGCGCAUAAGUCAAUCCAUCUGGAAUUGAGCCAUUGCCUAUGCGAUGAUGGGCUGAGAAACUGGUAACGAAGGUGACGUGCGCACCUGUAGUGUUGAUAAGGCGCUUGGCGAAUUGGAGGGAAGGGUUGAUGUGGCCUUGAGCCGGAUAUGUGACAAGUAGAAAGCGGUGUUGCACCAUGGCAGCGUAUGCGAUUGCGGAGGUGCGCGGUGGAGCGUGGAGUUGUUGGAAGUAGAAUAAGUAGGUACCUAGUUUACUGGUGGAAAAUUUGGUGCUGUGGGCUUAUUAGCUUAGUGAAGUAGAAAUUCUUGUGGGAGUACGUAUUCAAGGUGGGGAAUGCGGUGAGAGGAUGGUAAGGCUUAAAUAGGGGCUUGGGGGCAGAAAUGUUACGUUUGUGCUGACGAAUUGAAGGCGCUGGAGAAGGACAAUUGUAAUUUGUGGUCAUCUCGAUGCAUGCAUAUAAUAUUAUGGGUAAUAAUACUCUCACUACAUAUUUAUACCAUCAUUUGUAUUAUUUUUAUAAUAAUGAUGAGAUCCACAUGUUCUUGUGGAUCCUAUCUUUUGAGAGAUUAUACCAAAUGUGGUAAGUGUAGCAUUAUUCUUAUUUAUAUCAUAUUUUGUAAAUCAUAUGAUGUAAUUGUUGAUGAUUUGAUUAUUACUUAAGCGUUAAUUUUCGUGAUUAUUUUUUAUAAUUACACCUCACAUAAUGUACAAAUUUAGUCUAAAAAAUUAGUUUACCUAACAUUACUUUUUUAAAAUUGGUUUCAUUAAACUUCAUAGCACAUCACAUGGACUAAAUCCAAUCUAAUGUGGUAUAAUAUACAUAUUAAUCUAUCACCGAAAAACUGAUAAAUACACAUGUGAGUAACUUGACCAUGAAUAAUGUUAGGCCUCGUUAAGUUAGGCUUCGUAAUCGUCAGCGAGGCCAUGAAUAAUUGGGUUCCUACAAAGGAGCCUAUGCGGUUCAUCAUAGAUGUGAGCAACUUCACCUUGAGGUCUUGUCCUCAAUACUAGAAAAAAACUCAGGACCAAGACACGAUCUGAUGGUGGCACGCUUCCGCACCCUAAAACUAAAGUCCUAAAACUAAAAGGACCAAUUUUUUUUUUUUGUGGUCCUAAGCCGAAAGGAGGCGUGUUGAAAUAUGUUAUUACAUCGACACAAUGAAGGAGAAAAUAAGAGUUCAAAUAUCAUAAUUUUACUCCAAUUAAUAUUGAGGUUUUUUUGUGAUAAAAACCUCACACAUUAAACUGUGCAAGUGCUAAUUAACAAGUUUGAGACAAUAUCGAUAUUGCUGGAAGUUGAUCUUCAUCCCCUAUUUUUUAUAAUUUGACAAGGCGAUAUGAAGCGCAAAAUAAUAAGCAACCAAAUAGUUUUGGUGAAAUGGAAUAUGAAAUACCUCAACCGUGGGACUCAUACUCUAUUUUAUAUAAUCUAUUGCUUUAGAUAUCUUUCAUCUUAUAAGUACAUUAUCCUAAAUUCUUAAUCCUGGUAAGAUUCCUAGUCAGACUAACUUCCCUAAUUAAGCUAGAUGGUUGUAGUAUUGACUUCAGUCAAGCAUGCAUGAUGAGUGCAUGAAUUCACUUUCUAUUUCUCAUAAAGUUCAUAGUACAUAACCUGGACUAGUAGGUUUGACGUGGUCAGAGAGACGAGCGAAUUUGGUAACCACAAACUGAUUAAUACACACAUACAAAUUUGUGAUUUCUCCAGUUAAGGGCCUAGGGCCCCGUUUAUCAUAUGCCGAGUUUGAUUGGUCUAGCUGCAUCACACUAAAAUUGAUUGGUCUAGCUGCAUCACACUAACUUUCGUUUGAUAACAACGAUUGAUGACGUAUUUAUAGGAGAGGUGAGCAUGCCAAAAAGUACAAAAAGUGUGGCAUGACCGUUGUCACGAUUUUAGUAAUAGCUACUCUAGCAACAACACGCUUGCUUUGUGGCUAUUGCUCCCUUUUCUUGUAUUGCUGUUGAUUCUAAAAAUUAUCAAACUUACGUGACGUGCAUGCCAAGUAACUAAGAAUUAACUACGUCCUUUUUGUGGUUGAUGCGGGUGUGCCACCUCGCCGCCGAGGCACUAUUCUAAAAAUCCCCGUCUAGCGCCGCCUAGAUGCUAGGCGGCUAGUCACCGUCCCGAUUAAUACUUAGGCAUUUGAAAAUUAAGAAAGGAUGCCUGGACCUGCUAAGGUGCCCGCCCAAACCACCUAGGCACCUGCCUAACUUGCCUAGACCAUCCUAGGUUGCGAUUCACUUAGAUAGAAAAUAGAUGACUUUCAUUUUGUAUUUUAUUUUUUUAAUAAAUUGUAAGAAACUUGUUGAAUACACACAUUAUGUGCGUUGUUGAUGCACAAAAUCAGUGGGGACUUUGGUACAACAGAAAAUGUUAAGUUUGUGACCUUCACUAGAUUGCUCCGAUCACUAGUGUAGAUAAGUAUGUAAAUGGAUAGAGACAGAGAAGCAAACACAAGAUGUACGCGGUUCACCCAGAUUGGCUACAUCCACGGAGUAGAGGAGUUCUCAUUAAUUGUGAAGGGUUUACACAAGUACAUAGGUUCAAGCUCUCAUUUAGUGACUAGUGAAUGAUUUAGUACAAAUGACAUUAGGAAAUAUUGUGGGAGAAUGAUCUCCUUUUAUAGAAGAGAGUUUCUAGCUUUGUUUUGACAUUGACACGUGUCGUGUUGUGAUUGGCUUCUGAUGUUGACACGUGUUGCGCUAUGAUUGGCUUCGGAUGUGUCUCCUGGUUGGAGGGAAACUCUUCUGGGUCGUUGACGGUAUAACGUUGACCGGUACUCGGUAGUUUCGGGAUUGGUCAAGUAUGGUACAAACAGUGCUCCCCUAAGUUCUCGAGUGAGGGAAACUCCUCGGUUGGGGACUUGCAAGAUCCAAGCCGCUGAGUAAUCACGAAACUUCUAAGCACUGAAGUGUGGUAUCGUUUUCAUUUGCCUUAUUUGUCUCAUAGAUAGAUGUGGCAUCUUCUCUGGAAGUAUUUUUCCUCCAUCUAAGGGUGGUAUCUUUAACAGGUGGAGAUGCACAAGGUAAUGUAUUAAUUUCACUUGAAGCUUACUUGUAGUUUCAGACUUGGUCAAGCGCGAUACAAACCAUGUAGUAGGAGUUCCCCAAGUCGCCGAGCUAGGAGAUCUGCCUAAAGAGGUGACAGACAAGGUAAGCAAUUAGAGUUCUAAGCAAUCAGUCCCAGAUCAGGAGUUUGAUUUUGAGUUCUGGCUGAUUGUUCUCAUUCUCCCUAUCUUGCAGGCAGUAAAAAGGAUAAAGAGAAGAAAAAGGAGAAGAAAUAAUAUGAGAUACUUUUGCUUUUGAAGAAGUAACUUUCCACAUGCUUAUUCUUGAACUGGUUAGAGGGUUUUCUGGUUUCCUCUAGAGUAUAAGGCCGACUCAAGAAUUUGAGGGUCAAAACAAGUUUAUCAAAUCUAGAGUACAUUCAACCCUGAUGAUAUGGGAUACCCUUACUGUUGACAAAGUAGUGGAUGUGGCAUGGCGAGGCUUUGCUCUUUGGCGACGGUGUCAGCGAAAGGCUGUUGAAGCUUCUUGAGCUAUUCGGAUAGGGCAACGAUAUCGAGCUUAGAUUUGACUUAAACUCCUCCGUCUGGAUUAUGCGGUUCUGCAGGGGGUCGUGCUAUAGUGAUCUAUUCUAGCUCAUCAUUGAACCUUCUACUCCAAUCUUUUGCAUCGCAAAAGUGGUAUGCAACCUUUGCAUUUGAAUGGUCCUUCAGAGUACUACUUCUCAGCGACUCAUCCAUGCUUGGCAGCUUUAGUGUAAAGAGCCAAUAUUGUAUCAACUGUUCUAAGGUAUUUUCUGAAAAAAUUCGCGACCUUGACAACAGUUGAGGAUGAGUACUCAAGAGCAAUGCUAGGUGAGCAACUAGGCAAAGGUUCCGAGCAAUCAGUUCUAGAUCGGAAGUUUGAUUUCAGGUUCCAACUGAUUGCUUUCUUUCUCCUUGUCUUGCAGGUAAGAGCAAAGGCAAAUGGAAAGGCAGGGAAAAAGCAUGAUAUGAGAUACUCUUGCUUUUAACUCUGAUGAUAUGAGAUACUCUUGCUCUGGUGUAGCUUAUUUGCAGAGGUAUUAUCAGGGGGAAAUGAAGCUGAGUAUAUCGAGAGACUCUGCUGAGAGUGCCCUCUCGGAUGUGAAGAAAAGUUGAGCAUUUUUUUUAUUUGCAGGUCUGCCUGGCUGUGGAUGAUGAAGGUCGGCAUAUAUAGGGAUUGUCCCAACAGCGAGUAGUAACGUUGUUCAUUUAUCCUUCUCGGUUAUAGCAAUGUAGUGGGAGUUGCAAGAUUCACAUGUUUUAACUUUGUCAGAGCACUUUGAAAAAGUGGUCUGUGGUAUCUGAAAAUCUGAUGUUGAGUGUGAAGAUUGCAGAUAAAUUUUAUCCAAGGAAAUCUGGCUCUCGAAGUUUGAAGAGUGGUGUCUUUUCGAUUUUCGAACAAGCAAUCAUGUUGGGGAUCUGACUUUCGAGAUUCAGAGAGUGUUGUCUCUUUGAUUUUUGAACAAGCAAUCAUAUUAGGGAUCUGGCUCUCGAGAUUUAGAGAGCGGUGCCUCUUCAAUUUUUGAGAAAGCAAUCCUGUUAUGAGUCUGGCUUUCGAGAUUCGGAUAACGGUGACUUUUUUAUUUUUGAGAAAGCAAUCCUAGUGGGAGUCUGGCUCUCGAGAUUCGGAGAGCGGUGAGCCAGAGAUUCGAAGAGCGGUGCCUUUUCGAUUUUUGAGAAAGUAAUCCUGGUGGGAGUUUGGCUCUCGAGAUUCGGAGAGCGGUGCCUCUUCGAUUUUAGAGCAAGCAAUCCUAUUGGGAGUGUUUUCUCGAUGUGGGUAAAUGUUAGGCAUUUUUGCCAGUCUGCCUUGCCACGGAGCACAGAGGUUGACACAUAUAGGGACUACCCAUUUAUCAAGCAGUGGUGUUGUUCUUUUACCCUUGUGGGUAAUGGUAGGGUAGCUGGACCUUCAAAAUUUAUGUGUCUAAACUUUGUCAGAGAUCUUUGGCAAAGUUAUAUUUGGUACCUAAGGAGUUGAUGUUGCGUGUGGGGAUUGUCGACAUAUUUUACCUAGGAAAAUCUGCUUCUCGAAAUCCGGAGAGUAGUGCCUCUUCAAUUUUUGAACAAACAGCCCUGCUGCCCUUUCGUUUAUAGGGGCACCAAUUGUGUGCAAGAAGUAUGUUCAGAGAGUUAUUGCUUGUAGGAAUUUUUCCCUUAUUUUCGUACUUCAGAGAUUUAUUGGACCUCAUUUCUCCUUCAUCAUUUCUGAAAAUGUCUGGCCCAUCUGACCGUCGUUUUGACUUGAACUUUGGUGAAGAGGCAGCCAUGCCUCCUCAAGACAAUAAAUGGCGCUUAUCCUUCUUAUCCCCUACUGGUCCUCUUACCGUUGGGGACUCUGUGAUGAAGAAUGAUAUGAAAGCUGUGGUGAUGGCCAAGAACCUUCUCACUCCCAAAGAUAACAUAGUACUUUCCAAACGGUCUAAUGAGUUGGCUGUUAAGGAUUCUCUGGCUUUCUGUGUUCAGUGUGCAGGUUCUGUGUCUAAUAUGACUUAACGCCUAUUUGCUCAAACCCGCCAAGUUGAAUCAUUGGCGGUUGAAGUGAUAAGUCUCAAACAGGAGAUUAGAGGGCUCAAUCAUGAGAAUAAACAGUAGCAUAGGCUCACACAUGACUAUGCUACAAACAUGAAGAGGAAGCUUGACUAGCUGCAGGAAUAUGAUGGUCAGAUUUUACUUGAUCAUCAGAGGUUUGUGGGUUUGUUCCAAAGACAUUUAGUGCUUCCGUCUUAUGGGGCUGUACCGCUUAAUGAAGCUCCAAAUGAUCAACCUCCCAUGCCUCCCACUUCUGGGGUUCUGCCCAGUACUGAGUCUCCGAAUGAUCACCCUCUGGUACCUUCUCUUUCAGGGGCUCUGCCGACUGCUGAGACUUCUCUUGAGCAACUUUUGUGAAGGCUCCCUCUUGUUUGUUUAUUUUGAUUCAUGUAUAUGUACAUAUUUGUAACUUAUCGGAGAUAACAGUAAAUAAACUUUGCUUCUUUUCAACGUAUUGUGUUAAAUACACCAAAGCCUUCUUAACUAAGUUCUUUGAAUUUUUUCUUUUGUUGAAGCUUGUAUGUUGAAGCUUGUAUGUUGAAGCUUGUAUGUUGAAGCUUUGUGAGUGAAGCAUGUAGGUUGAAGUAGUACUCCCUUAAUUUCUCGAGUGAGGAAAACUUCUUGGUUGGAGACAUGAAAGAUCCAAGUUACUGAGUAGUCGUGAACCUUCUAAGUACCAAGGUGUAGUAGCAUAUGGUAGGAGUCCCCCAAGUCUCCGGUCGAGGGAGUUGACGUAGAAGGUGUCUUGCUAGUAGUCAAGUUUCCAAAGUAACAAAACUUCACUGUUUUCCUUUCUAAGUGGUAGCCCAAAACUCCUCAUUCAUAUAUAUUUGUUAUGAAAGUUGUUAGGCCCAAAGAAGAUGAGGCCUAGGCCCUUUUUUUUUUUUGAAUUUUUGAAUUUACAAAUUUCUGAAUAUAUAUAUAUAAGCUUUUUAGGUGAUGCUUUGUAGGUGAAGCUUUGAGGUUGAAGCUUUGUUGGGUAUCAUAAAUUGAUUUUGCUUCACAUUAUCUAGAUCAAAAGUGUGUGAAGCUUUUGGCAUUUGUAGUUGAAGCUUUGUAGGUGAAGUUUGUGUGUUGAAGCUUUGUAGGUGAAGCUUUGAAGUUGAAGCUUUUAUAGGUGAAGCUUUGGACUUGAAGCUUUGUGGGUGAAGCUUUGGAGUUGAAGCUUUUGUAGGUGAAGCUUUGGAGUUAAAGCUUUAUAGGUGAAGCUUUUGCGUUGAAGCUUUGUAGGUGAAGCUUUGGAGUUGAAGCUUUUGUAGGUGAAGCUUUGGAGUUGAAGCUUUGGAGUUGAAGCUUUGUAGUUCAAGCUUUUGCGUUGAAGCUUUGUAGGUGAAGCUUUUAUGUUUAAGCUUUGGAGUUGAAGCUUUGGAGUUGAAGCUUUUGUAGGUGAAGCUUUGGAGUUGAAGCUUUGUAGGUGAAGCUUUUGUGUUAAAGCUUUGUAGGUGAAGCUUUUGUGUUGAAGCUUUGUAGGUGAAGCUUUGGAGUUGAAGCUUUUGUAGGUGAAGCUUUUGUUGGCAUCAUAAAUUGGUUUUGCUUCACAUUGUCUUAAUCAAGAGUGUGUGAAGCUUUUGAGAAUUAUGGUUGAACUCCAUUGAUGAAGCUUUUGUUGGCACCAUAAAUUGGUUUUGCUUCACACUAUCUUGAUCAAGAGUGUGUAAAGCUUUUGAGAAUUAUGGUUGAAAUCCUUUGAUGAAGCUUUUGUUGGCACCAUAAAUUGGUUUUGCUUCACACUGUCUUGAUCAAUAGUGUGUGAAGCUUUUGAGAAUUGUAGUUGCCCUCCAUUGAUGAAGCUUUUGUUGGCACCAUAAAUUGGUUUUGCUUCACACUGUCUUGAUCAAGAGUGUGUGAAACUUUUGAGAAUUGUAGUUGCCCUUCAUUGAUGAAGCUCUUGUUGGCACCAUAAAUUGGUUUUGCUUCACACUGUCUUGAUCAAGAGUGUGAAACUUUUGAGAAUUGUAGUUACCCUUCAUUGAUGAAGCUCUUGUUGGCAUCAUAAAUUGGUUUUGCUUCACACUGUCUUGAUAAAGAGUGUGUGAAGCUUUUGAGAAUUAUGGUUGAACUCCUUUGAUGAAGCUCUUGUUGGCACCAUAAAUUGGUUUUGCUUCACACUGUCUUGAUCAAGAGUGUAUGAAGCUUUUGAGAAUUGUGGUUGCCCUCCAUUGAUGAAGCUCUUGUUGGCACCAUAAAUUGGUUUUGCUUCACACUGUCUUGAUCAAGAGUGUGAAGCUUUUGAGAAUUGUGGUUGAACUCCUUUGAUGAAGCUAAUGUGUUCACCUCAUCCCCCUCCAUUUUUUUUCUUUUUCUUUUUUUUUUGAGGGGGAGAGAGGGUGCUGUAAGUUUGAAAUUUGAAAACUCCCUAGCUUGUGUGGAAGUUUGAAGAUUUUCCAUGUGGGGUUUUCUCAUGGUUUGAAUUUUGAAUUUUGAAUUUCUUUGGCCAUGUUGAACCCUAUAAGAAUGAUAAGUUUCCACUCUUUUCAUUGUCUUCAUUUGCUCAUUUUGUAGUGAUUUUUAGAGACAGUGUGCUCUUAUAGUUGAGAGGGAUUCCGCAAUUGCUUUGCACCAUCUUCAGGUUGGUAGUCUUCUCCAGUAGAUCACAUGCUUUCAUUCUUGUUGAAUUGUUUGACUGUUCAUGUAUUUGGUUGAGAAUAUAAUGAACUGAUUGAGCUUUUCUCCAUGCCCUAGGAACUUCCUUAUAUUUUGAUUUUUCAUGUGGUGAUAGAGUUUGUUUCUGUUUGUUGCAGAUGUCAGAGUCUGGAAGUCCUAGUGAUAAGGGCUCCCUUAACUCUAACUCUAGGUUUGAGCUUGCAAUGUUGGAGUCUUCAGGGCCUUUGUUAGAGUCAUGUACAAAAAAUUCGAGAUUGGGUGAUCUUCACAGUUAUCAAGCCUUCUUCAUGUCAGUGGGUGAAGGGGUUGUUUGUAAUGCCAUACCUAUAUUUCGUCUGAGUUCACAACAGACCAUUUAGUGCAAAAAUUGUUAGAUAGCGAAAAGCAGCUUAAGGCCCUAAGGCAGUCAUGUAGUAUCCCCCGUAGUGUAGGAAUGCGUUUGGUGCAUUAUGAAGAAUUAUCCUCUGAACCUCCCAAGGGUCAUGUUAUGUUCUAUACCCAGAUAUUAUUGACUUUAAGGGUGAAGCUGCCUUUGCACCCGUGGUAGCAAUGGAUGCUGUCUUUCAUUGGAUAUGCGCUUGGGCAACUCUACCUUGGUUUUUGGGAUACCUUAAUCGAGUUUUAUAUUAUUUGGAUGGAAUGUGGAUUAGGUGAGCCUUCCUUUCAUCAGUGGUGCUACUGCUAUAAGAUGAGCCCGGUGAAAGCAUGCACCGGGUAUGCCGAGUAUGCAUGUCGGAGUGAGAGAGAGCAUAUUGUCUUUGGUAAGAAAAAGGCGUACUGCACUUGUUAAAUUGUUGGUGCUUUCUUUAUAAUGAUUGGGAGUAUGCUAAGGGUGUCACACCUGAGCGACGUGUUCCUACUCACUUCCAGACUGUAGGUUGUACUGUAUCCAUUGUUUGCAUUAUUUGCUGUUUGUUGUGAUUUUCUCUUGCUUCUAACAUUUUUUUUCGUGUAGUGACGCGAAUGACCAUCAAGCUGUUCGAACGGAAGCUAACUGACGUAGAGAAUGUGUUGAGGGUGCCCAAAGAGGAUAGACAUUUAGGCAAACUACGACCCUUAUUUCGAAAGUACGGUUUCCAAACCCUAGUGUCGGAGUGCCAGAGACGAGCAAGUAAGUUGUAUCUUUUAUUUCACUCCUUUUUUCUUUACAAAGUUGCAUUCCUUACUUUGAUUGUUCUUAUUCAGUGAAGAAAGUGGGCAAGAAAGGGAAAACUGGCGCCAAGAAAGGGAAAACACCAAUGUUAAUUCUCGUAAACGACAUUUUGUUUCACAAGGGAGCUCGUAAGCAUCGGGUGAGGCCAGCCCCUAAACCUAAGUCGCAAGAGGAGGUCAUCAAGAUUGCUACCUCAAAGAAGGCUGAAGCUGAGGUCAUCGGGUGUGCUACUGCCAUAGUUGUAGAGGAGAAGAGACAAUUGUUGCCUCUUCUUCCUACCAUCAAUCCUAUCUUUCCUCCAACCAUGGAGUCUGCUGACCAAGAAGGUGACCCUAACUUCAGCCGUAAGAGGAAGUACAAGCAAGAGGUUGGCAGCAUUCAUUGGAAGGACUUGAAGGUUGCCAUGCAGCCAAGUAGUUUUAGGUAUAUUAAUAAUUGCCUGGUAGGAAGUUCAUCCACUGUUAAUGAGCUUGGCGAGCCGCUAAAUGCGAAUGAAUCAGAUCGUGACCGGAUGAUGAAGCUAUCUUCUUAUGUAAGUGUUACUCUGUCAUUUCUUUACUUUCUCCCCUCGUUUUCCUGAUAGUGACGAUCAUCUUGUCAUAUAGGUCAUGACCGAGUACGAUGACAGAUUACGAGAGGUCGAGCGAUACAAGGCAAAGUUUAAAGAGAAUAAGCAGCUUGUGAAUGACGCCAGAAAAACGUGCAAAGCUUUGGCUGAUGCCAUCCGCCUUAAGGAUCAAAACUUUGAGAGUUUGAAGAGGCGGAAUGGUGAGAACGUGAGGCUCAAGAAACAAUUGGAAGCGACUAAGGAACAGUUGGAGACAACCAUCCUUGAGGUUUCCAAGGUUAAAGGGGAGUUGGAUAGUGCCUUGGUUGAGGUUUCUGGGCUGAAGAGGAGUAUCAUAACUGAGAGGGAUGCUGCCGUGCAUGAGUUCUUAGGUUCCCAGGCCUUUCACGAUACCUUUAGACCUCAUUGCAUCCAGGCGGCUAAUUUUGACAAAAAGGAAAUUGAUGGUCGUCCUUGAGCGUUAUGACAAUGGAAGCAUUAUUCGAAGGUACUGUGAUGAGAUGGAUGAGUAUCGACAAAAAGGUGACGCCUUCGUCCUCGCAGUUGAUCUUAGUAGUGAUGAUGACUCUGAUAAUGAGGCUAGUAUCGGUGAGUAGUCUCAGGAGAGGGAGGAUGGUCAUGGAGAUGCUGAAGAAAGUGGUGAUGGCGAUGGGGUUGAAACGUAGAGUGAUAUUGUCAGGGGUUCGGCCUCAGAUAAGGAUGACUCGUAGUGCCCUCUUUUUAUGCAUGUACUCUGGAUGUACGAGUUUGUUGUUUGUGUGACAUAUGCCAUGUACUCUGGAUGUACUAGUUUGUUGUUUAUGUAGCAUGUGCCAUAUACUCUGGAUAUACUAGUUUGUUGUUUGUGUGGCACGUGCCAUGUACUCUAUAUGUACUAGUUUGUUGCUUGUAUGGCAUGUGCCAUGUUGUAAGCCUGAGAGCUUUUUAUUUAUAGAUGCUUACGACUUUGUGCCAUAUAGUUUGAUGUUAAUUACCAAGUAUUUGUACUAUCAUUGAUGAAUGCCUGGCUAUGUUUGAGCAAAUCCUUUGUUUGGAUAUAAGCCAUAACUUGGGUAAAAUUGAAUGAAUAUACUGUGGAGCUGUUCGUUUAUUUGUAUAGUCUUGUUGAAAUAUACUUAGACUUUAUUUCCUGUUGGGAGCAUUCAUGUUGAAGCUUUGAACCUAAGUGUUUUCAUUGCUAGGAAUGUAAGAGGAUUAGGACUGAGUUGUCUAAAUCACCUAUUUGUUGAAUUCAUGCCAAAUGGUCUUCGUUACAUAGGAUGUCGAACAGCUGAAGCUUAACACUUGUACAAUGUGAGUUUACUUGUAAUAGUACUUCAAGUGAUCAGCGUUCCAUAGAUGGCCAAUGAUCUUGCCAUCGGAGCUUAUAAGCUUGUAGGAGCCAAGGCGACUGAUGCCAACAACUUCAAAUGGUUUAUCCUAGUUUGGACUAAGUGUUCCUUCACUCGAGACUCCGUCUUAGAGUAAUAUUUUCUUCAAUACCCAGUCCCCCACUUUGAAAGAACGAGGUUUGACCCUUGAGUUAUAGUAGUUGGAGAUACGCUGCUUGUAGGCGACAUUCCUCAAGUGAGCCUGGUUUUUGUGUUCCUCGACUAGAUCUAAGUUGAGGGUAAGUUGUUUGUCAUUUUUGCUUUGCACGUAGUUCUGGACUCGGAACAUUCUUGCUCAAGCUCAACUGAGACAACUGCCUCUGCACCAAAGGCAAGUGAGAAUGGGGUUUCUCCUGUUGACAUUCAAUACGAAAUACAGUAUGACUAAAGAACUUGGGGUACAAAUUCUGGCCAACAACCUUUAGCCUUGUCCAAGCUGGUUUUCAAAGUUCGCUUGAUUAUUUUGUUGAUGGCUUCAACUUGUCCAUUAGACUAGGGAUGAGCUGGGGAGGCAAAACAUAAGUUGAUGUUGAACUUAGAGCAGAACAUCAUGAACUUAUUGUUGUCAAACUGUUGCCCGGUGUCAGUGAUUAUCGCAUUAGGAAUGUCGAAUCUGCAAAAGAGGUUAUUCCAUACGAAGUCUUUUAUUUUUGCCUCAGUAAUAGUUACCAAGGGUUCUACUUCGACCCACUUUGUGAAGUAGUUAACUGCAAUGAUUGCAUAUCAGACCUUGCCCUUCCCUGCAGGCAUUAGGCUGAUCAAAUCAAGUCAUCAUUGAGCGAAGGGCCAAGGGCUGAUUAUAGGAGUGAGCGGCUCGGGAGAGGAGUGAGGAAUGGUUGCGUAGCAUUGACACUUAUCACAUGAGCAGAAUAUUUUGAUGGCAUCUUGGUGGAGUGUUGACCAGUAAUAUCCUUGGCGAAAAGCCUUGUGUUUUAGGGAUCGAGAUCCAGCAUGAUCUCCGCAGACUCCUUCAUGUAUUUCCCUAAGGACAAUUUCCGCCUCCGCAGAUGUAAGGCAUCUUAGGUAUAGUAGGUUAAAACCCCGCUUGUAUGAGUUGGUCAUUUAUGAUCAAGUAACGGGUAGCUUUGUAUUGAAUCUGCUUAGCUUGGACUUGAUCAUUUGGGAAGGUGCCAUACGCAAGGAAUUUAUAAAUCGGGGUAAUCCAACUAUCCCUUUAUUGUAAGUUGCACACUUCCGCGGCCAUGGUGCUUGGUGCUGCCAACAAUUCGACCUGAAUUUUUCUCCUAAUUUUGUCUUCCACUGUUGAGGCGAGGCGAGCCAAAGUGUCUGCAUGACUGUUUAUCGCUCAAGGAACUUCGGUGAUCUGGUAGUGGAAGUGCUUAAGCAACAGUUGUGUUUGUUCAAGAUAUGCUGCCAUUGAGCUAUCCUUAACGUCAAAGGUGUUGGUGACUUGGUUAACUACCAAUUGGGAGUCACUGAAGAUAUCAAUUAACCUCGAGGUGUUUGGCCAAACGUAAGCCUGCUAGGAGAGAUUCAUAUUCGGCCUCGUUGUUCGACGCCUUGAAUUUGAAACGAAGAGCAUACUCCAUCGCCACUUUGUCAAGGUAGUAAGGACUAGUCCUGCUCCACAACCAUGUUGGUUGGACAAGCCAUCAACAUAUAGACUCCAUGCUAGGGUUGUUGGUUCUAUUUUAUGAGCUUUCGAGGGUAACAAAGCCACUGCUUUAGGCGUAGAAGCAAUGUCAAUUGGAUAUGUGAAGUCGGCGAUGAAGUCUACCACUGGUUAGCCCUUCUCAGCUGGCUUUGGUUGGUAGGAGAUGUUAAACUCACUCAAUGCUAUCGCCCAUUUGAUCAUUUGCCCCGAAGUGUCAAGACUUUGAAGUAUCUGUCGAAGAUGAUGAUUGGUAAGCACGAUGAUGGAGUUUGCUUGGAAGUAAAGGUGAAGUUUUUUAGUAGACAUGACCAAUGUUAGAGCCAAUUUCUCAAUGUUGAAGUAUCGUGUCUCCGUAUCUUGUAAGGUCUUGCUAGUGUAGUAGACAUACUGUUCGACAUUACCAUCAUUUCAAAUGAGAACAGAACUUACUACUGAAGCCGAUACCGAUAGAUAAAUAAUGAGAGUGUCACUAACCUCUGGUUUGGAGAGCAAAUGAGCUUUACUCAUGUAGUCCUUGAGGUUCUUGAAUGCCUCAGCACAUUCAUCAGUCCAUGUAAUGUGCUUCUUAAUUCCCUUAAGUGCUUUGAAGAAAUGAGCACAUCUGUUUGUGGCCUUAGAGAUGAACCUGGUUAAGGCUAUCACCUUGUUAGUAAGGCUUUAGAUGUAUUUUGAAGUUAUCGGUUCCUUCAUGUUGAGGAUUGCUUUGAUGUUCUUGGGAUAGCUUUAAUGCCUCGUUGGCUAAUCAUGAAGCCUAAGAAUUUGCCAGAGCCUACGCCAAAAGCACAUUCGUUGGGGUUCAACCUCAUUCGAUACCUCUUCAGAAUGGUGAAAGUUUCAAAUAGGUUGGUGAUGUGUUGGUCAGCAUGUUUACUCUUGACUAACAUAUCAUCAAUGUAAACUUCCAUGCUCUUCCCAAUCUGUUCGGCGAACAUCGAAUUGACUAGUCUAUGAAAAGUCUUCCCUGCAUUCUUUAGGCCGAAUGACAUGACUUUAUAGCAAUAUAGUCCCCUGUCAAUAGUGAAAGCUAUGUUCUUGGUCUGAAGGGUUCAUGAGGAUUUGAUUGUAUCCUCAGUAAGCAUCCAUGAAGUUCAGGAGUUCACACCCUACUGUAGAGUCUAUAAGUCUGUCAAUGAGAGGAAGAGGAAAGCUAUCCUUCAAGCAUCCUUUGUUUAGGUCGGUGUAGUCGACACAUAUUCUCCACCAGGCCUUUUGGAGCAGAAGACUUUCUUUGGUUGGAUUUUUUUCUUAACAAAGACCACAUUUGCUACCCAUGUUGGGUAAUUGACUUCGCGGAUAAAGCCUAUGCCUUUGAGUUUUCAACUUCUGCCUUCAUUGCUUCGUAUUGUUCAAUGUCAUAAGAUCUUCGCUUAUGUCUCACCAGCUUGUUCUUAGGGUCAAUACUCAAACGAUGACAUGAUAUUGGGAGAGAUGUCUGGCAUGUCCUCGUAUGACCAGGCGAAGACCUUAGUGUUCUCUUGCAAAAAAGAAAUCAAUGCUAACUAAAUGGGUGGUGACAAAGUGGUGCCAAUCUUCACCAUACGAUCUGGAUAAUCUUUUGAGAUAGAAACCUUCUCCAGCUCUUCAGCAGGUUGUGUUUGCUGGGUGAAAGAGUCAUCUCGAGGAUCGUCGGGGUUGACUGUUGCUAUUGUGAAGAUCCAAGUUGGCUUCAUCCGGCUAGUCUUUAUGACUUGGUCAUGUAUAGAAAAGGUUUCCUUGGGCACAGGCAGGUGAUGUUGCUUGACCGAAGUGUUGUAACAUGACCAUGCACUAAAUUGAUCUCCUCUGAUGUAACCAUUGCCAUAGGAGGUUGGAAAUUUCAUCAACAACAUAUGUGUGGAUACCAUAGCCUUGAGAUCAUUGAUGUUUGUGCGUCCAAAGAUAACAUUGUAUGCCGUUGGGCAAUCAACCACCAAGAAGUUAGUGGUAAUGGUAGCUGUGUGAGGGUCUGUACCAAUGGUGAAAGGUAAGUGUAUGCUCCCUAAAGGUUGCACGAUAUCACCGGAGAAGCUUAUCAGAGGAGAAAUCGAGCGAUCGAGUAAGUGUUUAGCUACAUUAAGUGCCCUGAAAGCUUUAACAAACAUGAUACUGACCGAAACCCCUGUGUCUACCAGGAUUCGUCGUACUUAAAAGUUGGGUAUGUGAGCCUCCACGAUCAAUAAGUCGUUGUGAAGGUAGAUGAUACCUAUUUCUUCCUCAGGGUAGAAACAUAUUGGAUCCCAGUUAGGCUUUUGAUACUUGCCUCCUUUGAUGUCUUCCACGUGAAACACUUGGUGGCCUAGCCUUAAAGCUCAUUUGCUGUUUUUCAUGGCCCUAUUAGAAGAUUCAGAUAUGGGUGUGCCGCCGCUUAUGGAAUAUAUCAUAUUCACUUAGCGUUGGUUACGGUUAUCCCUUGAAGGGUGAAAGAGGAAUUGAUCAAUUUUUUCUUCAUGCGCCAAAGCUUCAAUAUGAUCAAGAAGGGUGAUACACUUCUCGCCGUCAUGGCCGUUAUGCUCGUGGUAGCAGCAAAACGUGCCGUGUUCUUCGUGGGCUUAUAACCUGACUACCUCGGCAUUGGCUUCGGUAUCAGGUGUGUUAUGUUGGGGUAAAUGACAACGCAUGUGGCGUUCAAAUGUGUGUAUGUCUCAUACCUCGGGGUAGGGCCUGUCCUGACACGUGUUUAGCCCACUGUGUUGACUGCUUGAGGGCGGGCAUUAUCGUGGCGAUACCCUUGGUUAUCACGAUAGUGUCCCUUACUUCUUUACUCAAAUGAGACUGGUGAGGAUGGAAAUCUUUCCUUUUGCCCUGAAAUUGAUAUGUCUAUUGACUUAGCGAAGUAUUAUGUAAGGUAAGGGGAGGCACCGCUGCCGUUUGGAAGGUCGAGGUCUUCUCAUUUGGUUGGAUUUGGCUUCUACUCCCUACUUGCUGAUAAAGGGUGGCUGUGGAGGGUUUCCCUUGUUAUGUCUUUGCCUUGGCGGAGGCUUAGUUGUAAGCCUGUGCCAUGACCUUAGAGUAAGUCUUCCAAGUGUUGUCAUUGAUCAUGUACUUGAAGAAACAAUCACGUAGGCCUUGAUGGUAGUCUUGUCAUCUGCCUCAGCGCAGCGAGAAUACUUAUGGCUGAAACGACCGGCAUACUCUCAUAGUGACUCAUCCGACUUCUGUCGAAUAGUGUACAAGUCAUCCGUAGAGUGUAAGCGAUCGGUCUGGAAAAUGUGUUGAGAAACAAAUAGUUUCCUCAAUUCCUCAAAUGAGUCUACCGUCUCAGUUAGAAGACGGCAAUACCAGUUUAAAGCUUCGCCAGAGAGGGUGGAAGGGAAGAGAAGACAUCGUUCUUCGUCGGUGUGCAUCCGAUAUGCCAUGGUAGACUCAAAGAGGUUAAAGUGUUCAAUCAGGUCCUCCUUUCCAGUAUAGGGUUGCAAGCCAAGCUUCUGCUUUGUCUUUGCUUUAAGGGGGUGUCGAGGAUCCUCCUUGUAAGAGGGCCAGGCCUAGGUUGGUUCCAAUCAGGUAUCUCAGCUUGUCGUUCGGCCUUCAACUUGUUUACUUCCUUAAGGAGUUGUAGGACAAAAGGGUCCUGAGUGGAGUCAUGUACCAUUGGAGCUUUCUGUCGUAAAUCUCCAUCUCCUCUUGGAAGUAGGAAGGUUUGAUUAAGAGCAUGUGAUUUUUUCUUGGACUCGCUGUACUGACUUCCAAGGUUUGUCUGUCGAAACAUCUCUAAAUCCCCUAUACCUUCGUGUUUCUCUAGGACUUGUUGCCCCUUCCCCAAAUUGGUAGCUGGCCUGGGACAUGGGAGGGGACCGAGUAUUUCAGAAACCCUUGGGUCAUGGAUCUUUAAGCUUACAUGGAAGAGAUUGUCUCGACGUUGCUUUAGGAAGUCUCGACAAUCGUGAAAGAUGGUUUUCCAUCCUUCCAUUCAUUCUGUAAGGAGGUGCCUUCCUCCACUCCUCCUGCUUCGGGUCGAAAUAGCUGGGUUAAGAGAAGUCUCAUGUUGGUCACCAUUUCGAUGAGUAGCUCGCUCUUCAACAGGAAUACCCAUGUCGAGGGCAAAUGACCCUCCGUGUUGGGAGGCACCCAGUUGAUGGUUGAUUUCCACAGGGGUGAUGAGCUCAUGUGUUUUAGUAUAUCUAGCCUCAUGGAGCAUUUCAAAGACCUUCUUAUACUGCUCUUGGAGGAUCUCAUUCUUCAUCACCAUCUUGGUGUUCUGAGACUCCAGCUUAUCGACUUUAGCCUGUAGAGCAAACUUCUUUUGUUCAUUCUUUCGCUACUUCGCACCAGGUGCGAAAGGGGUGUCGUUCUACGUGUUGUGGCUUCCUUCGCUCCCCAUGUUGGCGAGGGAUGCCUGGUCAAAAGAGAGUGUACGAAUGGUGGAAACCAGCUUGACAAAGCUGAAAAGAGUAGGAAUAAGUGCGAUUCCCACAUACGAUGCCAAAUGUUGAUGCACAAAAUCAGUGGGGACUUUGGUACAACAGAAAGUGCUAAGUUUGUGACCUUCACUAGAUUGCUCCGGUCACUAAUGUGGAUAAGUAUGUAAAUGGAUAGAGAUAGGGAAGCAAACACAAGAUGUAUGUGGUUCACCCAGAUUGGCUACGUCUACAAAGUAGAGGAGUUCUCAUUAAUUGUGAAAGGUUUACAUAAGUAAAUAGGUUCAAACUCUCAUUUAGUGAGUACUAAUGAAUGAUUUAGUACAAAUGACAUUAGGAAAUAUUGUGGCAGAAUGAUCUCCUUUUAUAGAAGAAAGUUUCUAGCUUUGUUCUGACAUUGACACAUGUCGUGUUGUGAUUGGCUUCUGAUGUUGACACGUGUCGUGCUAUGAUUGGCUUCUGAUGUCAACAUGUGUCGCGCUGUAAUUAGCCUUCUAGUUGAAGGGAAACUCUUCUGGAUCCUUGACGGUAUAAGGUUGACCGAUGAUCGGUAGUUUCGGAUUGGUCAAGUAUGAUACAAACAUGCUUGAAUAAAUAAACAACAAGGAUAUGAGAGUUGUUUAACCAAACUAAAGGUCUCCUAAAUUAGGCAUGUUCUACCCCUCCAAUGAUGUUUAACCAACCUAAAGGUGUCGCCAGUUGUUGACACAAUGAUAUUUAACCAAAUUGAAUAUUUGCCAACGGGGAGGGGUUAAUGAGUAAUUAGGAUUUUUUUUAGGUUGUGGAGGGUUUCUCAUAAAAGGGUUGAUUUGUGUGUGAGCGACUACAACUGAGGAAGGAAUGCCUCUAGACCUAGGGCUCUAAAACCUAAACACAAGGUUGCUUAAUUCACUACGAAUUUCAAGAUAUUUUGCCCCAGGUUCGGCAACUUCAACUAUAUCCUUGAAAAUAUAAGUAGCCGAAUCGGUAUUAGGCUAUAAGGACAAAGAUAUUCAAAGGAAAUGAGAUCUUUAUGGUGAAUGUUGUUCAGCAGUCUGAAUGUCGAACUUCCAAAUGCACUUGCAAGUAACUACUCAUAGAACAUCUCACUUCGCUGGGGGAGCUAAUAAAGUGACCGCUUUCAGCGAAAGUAUCAAAGACUCUUCAUUGGUUGAGACUUGGAGGUAGCCAACUAAACCAAAAGUAGUACUAUUUAACCAAAUUGAAGGUACUCCUAGGCCGACUAGUUCAAUGGCUCCAAUGACUUUUACCUGAACUAAAUAUGUUUCCGAUUAGCCAACCCAAUGAUGUUGCAACGAAGUAAACAUGUACCGACGGAGGGAUUAGGAUAAUUGAUAUUUUUUUAGGGUUGUGAGAAAAGUUUCGAACAGAGCAAGGUUAUUUUCGUAGAGCGUUUGAGUUGUUUGUUGAGUUGAAGGAGAAUUUUCACGUUGCAGAGCCUCUCAUAUUUAUAGGACGACAAUACUUUAGCUAACAAGUUCCGAAACCAAUUCGAACUGCAGCACGCUCUUGGAGCUUUAUCCCAUUUUACUUGCUAAAUAUCUGAUGCUUAAGUCCAGAUAACAUCUCAUGAGAAACAAUUCUCAUUUGGGGUCAUGUGCAUGAUGAGGCCUACUUCCCUCCUAAGAUGGGACUCUAUCAUUAGUUACAUGGAAGAUAUCAUAUCCCUUGCCCCUACAUGUUGCAUGCAUAUCCACAUAAGUUACAAAUAACAAACCUAUAUGAUGUGCUUCUCACCGUGCCCAUCUUAAUAGUCAUUUAUCUUCUUUGAAUUUGUAGAAUUGGAAAGCAAUCACAUUGCCCAUAAACCUCAAAUGCAGCUUGUGCUUCAAAAGAAAGUCCAUAUAUUGGAAGUCUUGGACAAGGUUGUCUUUUAUUUUUCUUGUGUUUAGCACUUCUUAUAUAGUGGUCAACUUCUUAAUUCAAGGAGCUGCUGUUAGCUUUCCUAAACCUACUGUUAGCUUUCCUAAAGCUGCUGUCAGCUUUCCUAAAGCUGCUGUCAGCUUUCCUAAAGCCACUCAUUAUGGCAUAAAUUAAGGAAGAAGGGAUAGCCUCCUUAUAUUUGCCUGUAGAGUUACGUUGCAGAUAAGAAAAAUAAAUACAAAACAAUCUUUAAAAAGCAAUAUGGUAUCAGAGCAGGGAAAAUAACCUGCUUCUGCAUUACUAUCAUCCGAUCUUAUUCAACCUUCAAUAUGGCGAAAGAAAAUCCUUCUGGGUCUGAAGCUGAAAGUUCACAGGUCAUUUCCUCCUUGAAUGUGUCUGAGAUGGAUGUCAACCCUAAUCAAAGAUUAAGCUCAGUCUUGUUGAAUGAGUUUAAUUACUUGCCUUGGUCAAGAGAAGUAAGUCUUGCCCUAGGUGGAAGGUCUAAGUUAGGGUUCAUAAAUGGAAGCAUCGAAGUUCCUGAUGCUUCCUCUUCAACUUAUGAAACCUGGCUUUGCAAAGAUCAGCUAGUUAUGUCAUGGCUCUUAAAUUCCAUGAAACGUAAACUAGCUUAAAUAUUCAGUUAUUCUGAAUCAUCAUUCAAGCUAUGGGAGACUGUCAAGGAAAUGUAUAGCAGUGAGAACAAUGCUGCACGUAUGUUUCAAUUAAAGAAUGACAUUUCCAACCUGCAACAAGAAGGAAAGCCCUUUGUACAACUUUUAGGCAGCAUGAAGAGCAUGUGGAUUGAGUUGGAAUUGUAUCGACCCCAUAUAACUAAAGCGUAUGUGCUAUUGAAGAAGGCAGAAGAAGACAAGAUAUUCCAACUCUUGUCAAGUCUCGAUGCAGAAUAUGAAGACCUACGAAGCCACAUACUCAUGAACACUGAACUGCCUUCCUUCACCAGUGUAUGUGCAACAAUCCAGCAUGAAGAAGUGCGAAGGAAAAUCAUGAACAUUGGUACAAAGACCAAUGUAUCUGAAGCUAGAGCCUAUCUAACCAACGAAAGAAAAUACAAAGGGAAGAAUCCACACUUGAAGUGCCAACACUGCAACUAUACCGGUCAUGUUAAGGAGACAUGCUGGAUUUUACAUCAAGAAUUAAAACCUGGUUUUAUGAAGGACAACAAGGGCUUUCAGAAGCUGAACCAAGCUACACACAGAGCCAACCAUGCAUCUGCCUCAACCUCAAAUAGGUCUGACACACUCAAAAGCUUCAUAGCAAAUCCGGCUGCACUCAUAAAUGAGUUUACAGCGUAUCUUUGAAGUAAGAAAUGAGGGAAUGAAAGUGAUCAAACGGUCAGUUUUGAAGAUGGAAACUCAACAGCUUUGCUAGGCAAGUUUGCUGGUUUCCUGGCAGACACCGAACACAUACCUUAAGAAGACUUGCAAUGUAUCAUGAAUUCAUUCAAAACUGCUCUUAAUGUAAAUAUGUUGCAUGAUUUUUGGGUUGUUGAUUCGAGUGCCACAUAUCAUAUGACCAACCAAGUUUCUACGUUUCAAAAAUUAUCAAAACCUUCUCAAGUGUUAACUGCAAAUGGUGAAAGUGCCGAGGUUUUAGGAAAGGGAAAAAUCAACUUAAUGUCGGAAAAAAUUGAGUCAAUGGCCUUAUAUGUUCCUUCUUUUCCUUUCCAACUCCUAUCUGUGAGAAAAAUCACCAAUACCUUGAAUUGUUUAGCCAUAUUCUCUUCUCACAAUGUCAUUUUUCAAGAUUGUGUCACCAAGAAGACGAUCGGUGAAAGGUUUUAUCUAGAUGGUCUCUAUUACAUAUCAAGGAGCAGUUCCAAAGGGUUUCAAGCCAAGUCCAAUUCAUCCCAAAAUAAUCAAUUGUGGCAUCAACGUCUAGCUCAUCCUUCUCAACCUAUUUUGUCUUCUUUGUUUCCAAACUUAGGGAAAGUUUUAAUUCCAUGUGAAACUUGUCAUUUAUCUAAGGCCACUAGAUUGCCUUUUAACUCAUCCUUAUCUAGGGCCAGUAAGUUGUUUGAACUUGUUCACUCAGAUGUAUGGGGACCAACGUGUGAAUCUUUUGACGGUUAUAAAUAUUAUGUAAUAUUUGUUGAUGAUUUCUCUAGAACCACAUGGUUGUACCUUUUAAAGUCUAAGAGUGAAGUGAUGGAAGUGUUUAAGGAUUUUAAUAAUCUUGUUAAGAACCAUUUCUCCUCUCAAAUUCAAACUUUAAGAUCUGACAAUGGCACCAAAUACAUGUCCCAUAUCAUGACACAAUAUUUGAGCAAUCAUGGCAUCAUGCAUCAAACAAGUUGUGUUGGCACACCUCAACAAAAUGGUGUAGCCAAAAGAAAAAAUUGUGACAUCCUUGAAAAAACUAGAGCAUUAAUGUUACAAAUGAAUGUACCAAAAAGAUUUUGGUCCCAAGGAGUCAUGGCUGCUGUCUACAUCAUCAAUAGACUUCCUAGCCGAGUCUUAGAUUUUAAAUCUCCUCUUGAGGUCAUGAAAGGAAGGAAAAUUGACAUUUCACAUCUUACAGUCUUUGGUUGUGUUUGCUUUACUCAUGUUCAACCACAUCAUCGAGAUAAAUUGGAUCCUAGAGCUCUUAAAUGUAUUUUUCUUGGUUAUUCAUCAACAAAAAAGGGAUAUAAGUGUUAUGAUCCUCAGCUAAGAAAAAUGAUUGUAUCUAAAGAUGUUCAAUUCCAUGAAACUAAUCAUUUUUUCAACAAGUCCUUUGAAACCAUAAGUCAGGGGGAGUGUAUCUUUGAUGUGUUUCCUCUACCAAGAAUCGGGCUCAAUAAUGCUUCAACAAGAAAAUGUUCCAAUAAUGAUGAACCACAUGCACCACCCACUGAAGGUAACAAUGAAGGUAUUCAUCCUGAUGGUUUUAUGCUUGAUGAUGACCGCGACAACCAAGAUAAUCUUCAAAGUGUGGCUGAAAAUUUGAACGAGUGUGAGACAACUGUACCAGCACCACGACGCAAUCCUAUGCAUAAUAGACAACCUCCUACAAGGUUUCAAGAUUUUGUCACAUACAAUCCCAAGCAUCCAAUCUCCAAUUAUGUGUCGUAUCAAAAGUUGACUCCAUCUCAUGCUGCAUUUCUUAGCACCAUCUCAAGUCACAGUGAGCCACAAAACUUUCAUGAGGCUAACAACCAAGAUGUGUGGAAAGAAGCAAUGAGAGAAGAACUCAAAACAUUAGACCUACACAAAACCUGGAGCAUUACCAAACUUCCAAAAGGUAAAAAGGCAGUAGGUUGCAAAUGGAUCUAUAAGAUCAAGUUUAAUUCAGAUGGUUCAAUUGAGAGGCAUAAAGGGCUGGUGGCUCGGGGAUUCACACAAACAUUUGAGAUGGAUUACAAAGAAACUUUUGCACCUGUUGCAAAAAUGAACUCAAUUAGGGUUCUAUUAUCCGUUGUUGUUAAUAAGGGUUGGUCCAUGUACCAAAUGGAUGUGAAGAACGCCUUUCUACAUGGUGAUCUUGAAGAAGAGGUCUAUAUGAAAUUGCCACCAGGGCAUCCUUAAAGCCAUGAGCAUGAUUUAGUGUGUAAAUUGCACAAAUCAAUUUAUGGACUGAAGAAAUCUCCACGAGCUUGGUAUGCCAAACUAAGUUCAGUGCUUAAUAGCGUUGAUUUCACAAGAAGCAAUGCAGAUUCAUCAUUGUUUGUUCGCACUGGAGCUGUGGGUAAAUUGGUUGUGUUAAUAUAUGUGGAUAACUUAAUAAUUACAGGUGAUAAUGCUGAAGAGAUUUCCAAACUCAUACAGUCACUUCAAUAAAGAUUUGCAAUUAAACAUCUUGAGGUGUUGAAGUACUUUCUUGGAAUAGAGAUGGCAACUUCUCACAAGGGACUAUUUCUUAAUCAAUGCAAAUACAUCCUGGACCUACUCAAGGACGCUAAAAUGAGUGAUGCUAAGCCUGCAAAUACUCCUCUCGAUAGCAAGCUCAAACUUGACUUGGGGGGCAUGCGACUCUCGGAUAUCAGCCACUAUCAGAGACUGGUUGGUAAGUUAAUCUAUCUAACAAUCACCAGGCAUGACAUCACAUAUUCAGUGAGUAUCGCCAGUCAAUUCAUGCACUCUCCCACAAUUGAUCAUUUGAACCUUGUCAAAAGGAUCUUACGUUACUUAAAAGGGUCCGUGGGUCGUGGCAUUAUCUUGAAGAAGAAUGAAAACACCCAAAUCAUGGGGUACUGCGAUGCGGAUUGGGCAAGAAAUGCAAUCGAUCGCAAGUCCACAACUGGUUACUGUAUCUUUGUCGGUGGAAACUUGGUCACGUGGAAGAGCAAAAAACAAACUAUCAUCGCAAGAUCAAGUGCCGAAGCUGAAUAUCGUGCAAUGGCAUCAAUCGCGUAUGAGCUGAUAUGGCUAAAGGGACUUCUAUGCGACUUAGGUGUGUUUACGACUCAACCUAUGAACUUAUUUUGUGACAACCAAGCAGCCAUGCACAUAGCAUCAAACACAGUGUUCCACGAGAGGACAAAACACAUUAAAGUAGAUUGUCACUAUGUACGUGAACAAGUACAGUCGCAGGUGAUUCAGACGCAUUAUACAAGAAGCUCCGAUCAAUUGGCCGAUAUAUUCACCAAACCCUUGGUCUCUCAUCAGUUUCAAAGGCUUCUGUCCAAGCUUGGAUCCGUCAAUCUUCUGGAUCCAAGUUGAGGGGGAGUAUUGGAAGUCUUGGACAAGGCUGUCUUUUAUUUUUCUUGUGUUUAGCAUUUCUUGUAUAGUGGUCAACUUCUUAAUUCAAGGAGCUGUUGUUAGCUUUCCUAAAGCUGACCUAAAGCUGCUGUCAGCUUUCCUAAAGCUGAUGUUAGCUUUCCUAAAGCCACUCAUUAUGGCAUAAAUUAAGGAAUGAGGGAUAGCCUCCCUAUAUUUGGUUGUAGUGUUACGUUGCAGAUAAGAAAAAUAAAUACAAAACAAUCUUUGAAAAGCAAUACCAUAACUCCAGGAGCUUUAUUUCUCCCCCGAGUCCAUCGUCAGUGAAACCGUGGUACACUAAAUGGAAAGAGGAUUCUUUUCGGAUCCUUUUGGUGGGGAUCAUAGAGAUCCUCAUAUCUUAACCGUUUGUCAGAUACUAUUUAUGUUUAAUUUUAAAUAAAAAAAUUCAAAUGAUUUCUAAUCGCAUGAUGUAUGAUGAAUGAUUAAGAUAUAAGAUUUUCACUAUUUGAAUCCGGAUAAGAUCCAAAUCCUGCUAAAGGAUAGGACGAGAUAAAAUUGUAUUGUGUUAGAGAAAGAGUCUGUCAGCUUUUGCUUUUGUUGCUGUCGAAAUAAUUUUAACAAAAACUCCAACAUAACUAUCAUGUAUAAUAAAACCAACGACAACAUCUUGAAGAAGUUAUUAAAAUCUCUUUAUUUGGGAGUUAUCCGACUGCUCAAAAUUUUGUUCAUUCAAUAGUUUUGAUUGCACGUGCGGGACAGAUGGGUCCAAACAAGUUUAUUCUAAAAGACAAAGAAAGAAACUGUGAAUAGCGCAUUCCCAAGGACAAAGAUAAUCUGCUCUUUCACUUUUCGUGCCCUCUCAUACGUUCUUGUUUUGUGUGAUCACGGUUAAGCCACGUCAACAUUUUAUAUUAUUUUUUUAUAGAGAUAAUAAGAUAAAAAUAAAUAGUAAUAUAAAAUAUUAACGUAACUUAUCCGUGACCACAUUAAUAGAAACGCACGAAAAAUAAGAGAGCAGACAAUCCUUGUCCCAUCCUUAACCGGUUUACUAUCGGUCACAAGUGAUCAUUUGCAUGUCUUACGAUGCUAAAAACAAACAAGAGUAAAUCAAAAAAACCCCAAAUUUUCAACAAUAUAGCGACGUAACAAUGCAUGGUUGCCUCUUGGUAUAUAAAGACAAACUACAGAAAAAAAUCUUGGAAUAUUCUCGAUCCCCAAACAUUAAAAAAACACGUCAUCCAUGACGAUAUCUGAAAAUUCAGAUUGCAACCAAAAUUUACAAUACAUCUUUUAGGGAUGUGGAUUCUCUCUCCUCCUAACAUCUCUUAUCUUUCCUCUUCUUCUAUUUGAAUGAUCACGGUUAAGUUAUGUCGUUAACAUCUUAUAUUGAUUGUUUUUAUAAAGACAAUAUGACAAAAAAAUAAAGUAUGAGGAGGGGAGGGAAGGGGAUGGAAAUACGAGGGGGGAGAAUCAUACUCUAAUUUUUAGCUUGUCUUUUGCUUGCAUAUCACGAAAAACACAUAUACACCUCACAGCAAAUGAAAUUUUAGCAUGUGUAUAUUCAUUAUGAAUACUACCAAAGAGUUCAAGAGGCUACAUGAAGGAUUUAACUAAGUUGAGCAGCUAAGCACUCAAAACUAGCUAAAGGGGAUGAAAGAAGGGGAAAAUGGUUAGGAUUAUGAUAAGUAAAUAUUGCAGUUCUUUUCUAAUGUCAUAAAAAAUAAAUACAAAAAUAGUUACGACUAUAAUAGGUAAAUAGUUCAUUGAUCAUUUUAUCGCGUAAACGACGGAUCCUUCGACACCUCAAUAAUCAAAUCUAAGCUAAAGGGGUAGAUGUUGUGAUUCUUCAUCAGUCCUAGCAAGGUUAAUGUGCCUAGAGGAAAAUAAUUUUUUUAUUUUGAAUGAAUGUUUUUAUUCUCGAGCAAUCUAUCUCCUACCUCCAAAUUUAUCAUAUUUUUUAUUUAUUCUUUCUAACUUACCUUAAAAAUAAUAACUCAUGUACUUCAAUUCAUUUCUUUGUACCAAAUGAGAUUGUAGUUACUUAAGAAAUGUUAAGGAAACUCUUUUAAAGUAUGACCUUUUAUGCACUUUACUGUUUCACAUCAAUUCUCGUAUCAACAUUUUAAAAUAUAAUUUUAAAAUAUAAGAUGACAAAUAAUCUAAAAAGGUUACUUUUGAGAAAGUUUAUUUAGCAUUUCUCAAAGGGGAAUCCAACUCGAUUACUAGGCACUAUAACUUGCGUAAAGGGGGAUGAAAAUGACUACUUAACAAGAAGAGGGCGAAGGAUAGUACCUUAUUAAGCCAUUAAGAUUACUGUUGUGUUUCUUUGAGCUCAUUUCGGAACAAAAGUGAACCUUUAUGGUGAGGUUGACGACUGUCAGUUCAUUCCAAUACCUUGGUCCUUGGUCGACACUCAAAUUAUUUUUUCCAAUUAAAUCCAAGUAAGUGACUAGACAGUAGAGUUCCUGCGGAAUUUUCUCUCUUAAUUUUCCUCUUUCUUUUUUUUUUUCAACAAGGGCUUUGGUUUCUUCUGUGAGAUAGAGGUUGUUGAUUGAUAGAUGUCUCUUACAUUUCUUUUGAGAGUAUUUGAUGCCAAUAAUUAUCCACUGAGGUUCUUUUUUGGAUAAAAUUUAUGGGGCCCCAAUUUAUCCAAUUUGAUAAAAGACUAACUGAAAUUAACAUUUGGUAUCUCUUGAAGGAUAAAUAUUUCAGUGUGUCAAAAACACGGUUAUGUAUAUCCAGUGUUAAUACAAAAGUGGUUGAAGUGUUUUUUCGAGGAUCUAACUACAUGUCUUAUGACAUUUUGUGUAUGUGUUUGGAUCCAAAAUUACACCAUCUGCCCAUCGAGACUGUUGAGUAAGCAUGGUUCUAGACCGUUGGAUAAGAAGUUAAGAUAAUUUUGUUUUGAGAUAAUGUUAUGGUUUUUAAUCAUAAUAAUUAUCUUUUGAUAAAUCAUCUUGAUUUUCUUAUACAAAAUAAAUGGGAUACAAAUCAUAGCCCCAACUCAGAAGCAAAAAGAACAAUCCAAAUUAAUUUGGAUUUGUUAGCAGUGCACCGUGUGAAGAGCAGCUUGGAUUGGGACUCCUAGCACUGAUGUGGUCAUGAUGGCUUUUGCAUUGCAGAUGAAAUAAGAAAAUAGUUGCGUGAUGCGGUAGAAGGUUAUUAUGCAUGCAUGGAUAGAUCAUUAAAAAGCCUAAAUAGGCCUAGCUUUUGGUGAUGAUGUGAUAAGCCUAGGAUUUGAUGGUCUUGAAUAGUGGUGAAAUAAGAAACCUAGGUAGGCUAGGCCUUUUUGCAUGGUGAUGGAAGUUAUCAAAUGAGUUUAAAGGCUUCUCAUGGAGGUUUUUUAUGAGAUAAGAAGCUUAAGUGGACUAGGUUUCUGAUGUGAUGUGAUAAAGCCUAGAUAGGCUUUAUUUUGUUUGAAAAGUCACGAAAUCUGAAGGAUAUGCCUUGGCAUUUGACACGGAUCAAUUUCAAUUCCGCGAGGUAGAGUUGCGGUUGGACUCUACAAAGUUAUCAAGCCGUGUGAAGCAAAAGACAGCCACUAUAAAUACAGAGUCGUAUGCAGCAUUGGGCCCUGCUCCAACUCAACACACAAACUGCUCUGCGCAAACCCUUGCUCUAUAUGAAACCUCUCAACAACCUUGAGAUUUUUAUUUUCCUUUUUCUCCAACACAUCUUCAGUUUCGAUAAACAGCACUGUGAAGAAAAUCGACUAACAUCUUUAGUUUGGAUAAACAGCACUGUUGCUGUAAAAUCAGCCGACCGCGAAACUACUUCAGUUUGGAUAAACAGCACUGCUACGAGGCCGACUGGUUAUCUAUCCAAGUCUCGGUCGAGAAGGAUUUUCAAAUUUUUAUUGGCAGAGGUCAUCUCAUUAGCCUUCUAGGUGAAGUGAGGUGUUACCAAGUUACUACAUUCGGCACACUGAGAGCCGAAUUUGAUAUUGAACUUCGUAGAACUAGCAUUCUUGUCUUCAGGCUCUAGAACCAUUCCUAGGAGAAGAGGAAGGUCCAUUCCCAGGUGGUGGGUGUUUUUGUUGCCUCUCUGGUGGAGCUCAGAGGUGAGAGGGAAGGUUUGUAGAGAAAGAGAGUGCGAGAGGUUUGAGAAAGGGAGAGAAGUGAGGAAGAAAGAAAGAUAGAGAGAGUGUGUACUAUGAGAGGGAGAACACAGGAGAGGGUAGAGAGGAAAGAGACCAGGAACCAAAAAGAAGGGGGGUCCCACCCGGCUCACUAUUUAAUAACCAAAAUAAUAUUUAAAAACGAGGGUGGAGUGUAACAUGGUCAAUGCAAACAUUACAGAUACAAAAAACCAAAGUCUUAUAGAGCUUCCUUAUACUAAUCACACAACAAAAAUUACGAACAACAAAACAUGAAAAAAAUGAAAAGGAUACGGCAAUGCAUCGUUGGUAGGAUCCAGACUAACAACUGCUAUUUUUCUGGUAACUAAAAAUGAUGAAAUGGUCAAUGCAAACAUUAUCGACAGAUUCAAAAACAAAAACUAAGGCCAAGGAAAAACUUGAAAACCAACAAAAACUCGAAAUCUUAUAGGAGUCCUAUCUUUCCACAGUUUUCCUUCUUCAAAAUAAGAAUAGAAACCUCUAAUUUGAGUGCCUACACAUAUAUACAUCGGAUAAAAAUCAAAAAUAAAAAAUUCGAAACACCACCAGAAAUAACAAAAAUGAUGAAAAAUAAACCAUAAAAAUUUUCAACAAAAAGUUUAAGACUUUAACUCACAGGAAAUCCUGUAACCAGUUGUAAGUGGAUGCACCCUCACUGGUGACCAAUUGCAAAGUGGCCCUUUUGCCCAGCUCUGUAACCAAUUGUAAAGUCGACUUUUUGCCCAGUUCACUACGGUUUCAUUUCAUUUAUUUUCAUUCGUAUGUAGAUAUAUUUGAAUCAUUGAUUGCUAUAUGAACUCUAGAAAGCCACGAAUGGGAGUUGGAGUAUUAAAGGACUCAACACUUACUAUUUAGUUUAAAUACUCUAUUUGCACGUCUGCAAGUAAGCUGAAUUCACAACCUAUGCCAAUUCAAGGUGUAGAGUUUCACCUUCUUCGGACCCAUAAAUGGUCGAAAAGUUCUAAAAUCAGCCAGAGAAAACUGGGAUCCUCAUCAGAAAAACCCACCAAGGUGCGCUUAUGGAACUCCUCGCCUUUUAAUCUGCAUUACCAGAACAAAAUGUAAAUUCACCAAUUAAAUGCGUAUAUCAAUUUCAUAAUGUAGUUUAUUACAAAGAUUAAGAAGCGAAAAUUACCAUAGCAGUAGUGGCAGCUCCAAAAAGGGCAAUGAGGGAUGGCACAGCUACUUGGCCAACUUAUCUGGCUAGGACUUCAAACACCAAAACCCCGUACAAUGCACAAAAGGAUGCUGCAAAAGAAUUAACAAAAGAAUAAUGAUCGCAAGAAACAGUUCAGUAUAACUUUAAAAACUUUGGGAAGUUGAUGGGGGCAUAAUCAUCAUAUACCAAUUGAUUCAUGUAUCGUGACCAUCCAUCCAAGCAAAGGCAUCUACAUACACUGCGGUAUGGUAGAUAUUUUAUGUGCUCCAGAUUCAUUAUCUGCAAAAUAUGCAUCUAUCGAACAACAUAGUAAGUCUUUAUCUUAACGGAAAAAAAGAAAUUACAAAAUUUAAACUUCGAUCUAAAAGUUAUUCAUUAAUUUCUUUAUAUAUAAGAAAUUAUUGCACAAAAUGAAUGUAUCCAGUUCACCACAGAGUAGUAAUCGAUUCUAAUUUGAUCUACAUGAUCGAAUAUGUGUGUGUGUACAUAUAUAUAUAUCUGCAUGUAUAUAUAUAGCCAUUGUAUGAAAAGCGCUAACAGAUUAAAGUGAUCUCUUAAAACUCGAUAUGGAGCAUCGUUCUCUUCCCAUGUUUGUAGGAUAUAUUACAUGGUUCCACUUCAAGCAUUCUGGCCAACAGCUAUGCGGUCCAUUAGACAAAUUAGAUGGUUUAGUAGGUCCUACAUCGUCAAUCUCUAGCCCUAUAUCAAUAUUGUGUAGUGGGGAACCUUUAUUUGAAUCAAGCAAUUCAUAGAUACAAAAAUUACUUAUAAAAUAACUUUGAAAGUAAGUAAAAAAAAUAUGUUCUAUGCCUAUUGCUUUUGCCGAACUAAAAAAAAAGUGGGAAAUGCUUGAAAUUGGCCAGAAAAAACUCGCAUCUUCAUCGGAAAACCCACCGCAAGCUGGGCUUAUUGUACUCUUCGAUAGAGGGGUAAAUUCGAACAUAAAAAGCUCGAGUCUUGUUGUUAGGACUCUUCUGAGUCCCGGGAGAACUGCGAGAGGAAAGAGAGAGAAGGGAUAAGGAAGAAUUAAAAAAUAAAAAAUAACAGUGCAUAUAUUAUGCGAUCCAGGGACACCAUUGGAAUAAGGUUAAAACUGUGAGGUUGAGACUCACCCAGAACUUAAGAAAUAACUGCAUAUAGUAUUAACACACAUAAAUGAUCAAUUGAAGAUCAUAUCAUGUGCAGCAAGCCAAAACAAACAAUUUGAAAUCAAACCAACCAAAACAAACAAAAGUCAUUUCCCAUGGAAGAUUAUCACAAAAUUGCAAGACCUAUACAAUCUAAAUAAAGUGGGUUCUACGGGGUGGAAGAAAGCAUAAAAGCUGCAGUGGAGCAAACCCGGGAAGGUAGGGUAGAGAAUACGCCACCGAGAGAACCUGAGAAUGGUGAAUGGAAGGAUGCAAAAUAUUGUAUACCAACAACAAAAUAUCGCAUAAACUUAGGAAUUGGAUCAUGCUUUUGAUUUUAUCUUUUACCUACAAACAAUCAUAUACAUAGUACUUUAUAUAUUUUUACCAAAAAACGUCCCUAAUAGGCUAAUAUAUGUAAUAAUACAUGAAAAAUAAUUUACCUACCAUGUAUACAAAAAUGUUAUUUGAUUCAAAAUAUAUAAUCCGGGUUUUCUAAUAUAUAUAUGGGUAAAUUACAUAAUACCCCCUCAGGUUUGAGGUCUAUUACAACCUCAUACAACAUCUUUAAACAUUUCACUUUCAUACAUCACCUACUAUUUUAUUUCAAUAUAGUACAUCCGUUACAUUUUUCAUUCAUUGAUCCGUUAAGAGUUGACGUGGUUGCCACAUUUGUGCCACAUGGCUGCCAAAUUUAUGCCACGUGGCAAAAAAUUAAUUUUUUUAUACAUUUAAAAAUAAUUAAUUAAAGAAAAAUUAUUAUAAAAAAUAAUAAAAUAAUAAUAAUCACUAGAACCCAUCUCCCUCUCCUGCACCCCACCCACCCUCCCUCCCGUCUCUUACCCCAUCCACCCUCCCUCCCUUCUCUUUCCACAGCCAACACCCAGAAGAACUCACACCCAUAAAAAUGACGCUCGUCUCCUCAGAUCCCACAGAGCCCCAUCUUUCUCCACAAUCCCUCACCUGCGUCAGAACCCUCGCCGGCACGGCCUCGUUUUGGCUUUUCUUCAACGCCGAGCACAGCGACAGCAGCUUCCGCCGUGUACUCCGUCACCCAUUCCGAGAUGGGUUGAGGUUCUGAUCUGGGUUUUUGAUUGGGGGUCCGAUUGAGAUUUGGAUCGGCUUGAAGUUAGAGAGAGAGAGAUGAAUGGAGUUGGGAGACAAUGGCAAAGAUCUGGUGCGGCGGGGGUGCACCACCAGCGGCAAUACUCUGAUAACUUCUUGGAGACUUCAUCCAACGGGAUAUGCUUCAGUCAGCUGGUCUUCAAUACCUUUCAUCUUCCAACUCAUUUGAUCCUCCUCCUCGGGUAUUUUUUUGCUUUCCCAAUCAAAUCUAUCCGAAUUUAAUCAAAACGUUGUAACAAAUCUGAAAUUUGGGUACAUUGUAAUAAUCAUUUAUUUUGUGGGAUAUGAGUAGGAGAGCACCAUUUUUAUGGGUGUGAGUUCUUUUGGGCGUCGGCUGUGGAGAGAGAAGGGAGGGAAUGAGGGAGGGUGGGUGGGGUGCAGGAGAGGGAUGUGACUCGGGGGGGGGAGAUGGGUUCUAGGGAUUUUUUUGUUUUUUUUUAAUUUUUAUAAUAAUUUUUCUUUAAUUCAUUAAUUUUAAAUGUAUAAAACAAUUAUUUUUUUUGCUACGUGGCAUAAAUUUGGCAGCCACAUGACACAAAUGUGACAGCCACUUCAGUUCUUAACGGAUCAAUGGAUGGAAAAUGUAACAGAUGUAUUAUAUUGAAAUAAAAUAGUAGGUGAAGAAUGAAAGUGAAAUGUUUUUAAAAUGUUGUAUGGGGUUGUAAUAAACCUCAAACCUGAGGGGGUAUUAUGUAAUUUACCCUAUAUAUAUAAUCUAGGUGUAGUGUAUAUAUAUAUAUAUAUUUAUAUAAUUGGAACAAAUUAAUUUACCUACCUACAAAUUAAUUUCCAAUAAUUUACCUACAAAAAAUUAUACCCCAUGUGUAAUAUAAUAUCUUUUUUUUCACUAAUACAUGGAGAAUAAUUUACACAAAACAAGAAGAAAUAUAUUUGAUGUAUUAUAUUGAAAAAUAUUAUGUCAUACCUAUAUUUAUACAACAAUGAAAUGUGCCUAAUAUAUGUAACAAUACAUGAAAAAUAAUUUACCUACAAGGUAGAUAAGUGUUAUUUGAUUCAAAAUAUAUAAUACGGAUUUAGUAUAAUUUUUUUUAAUAAUUGGAACAAAUUAAUUUACUUCCAAAUUAAUGCAAUAUAUAUAUCACAAAAAAGGUAAUUUUUUGGUAUGAUAAGGAUACAAUUAAUGCAAUACAACAGUUUAUAUAUUUUAUUUCACUUUUUCUACAACUUUUAAUUUAGAAUAAAUUUAGGGAUUUGGGAAAGUGGCAUGAGUGUAAAUAAAUUGUAUUAGUCGGUCAAUAGUGUUCCGAUGUGGCUGCAGAUUUUAAAUUUGGGCUUUUAUUGGACAUUUAUAUGUAUAUGAGUUUUUAUCUAGGAAUCAUGAAUUGUAAGGACCAAAAUCUAAAGCACCUUUUAAAAAAAAAAAAAUGAACUUGAGUGUAGAAGGGAGUGCACAUUAUUCUAACUAAUAUUCUUAUUUGCAAUAACAAAGGAGACAACUGCUCAUUUUAAAAGUAAAAAAAAAAAAAAAAAAGUACAUGUGCAUGCAAAUAUAUAAGACGAAAAAAAGUACAUGUGCAUGCAAUAUAUGUGAUGAACAAUACUUGGGUAUUCAAAGAUAAGUAGGAAUUUCUAUUCAAAAUUCUUAGUGUUUUAAUCACAGAGUUUUGUGCUUAUGAUCGGAACAGUUAAUACUAUGAAUCAUAUUGUAAAUAUCAUCUUUGCAAAAAAUAAAUAAAAACUAAGGUCCUUUAGUCAAUCUAUUGUAGUAAAUACAUAAACGGUUUAUAAUGCUUUUACCAAUACCGUUCAUUUGUUUUUAAAUAGUUUGAUAACUAAACAACCUUAGUUUUAAUUCAAUUUUUGCAAAGACGGUCUUUAUAUGAUGAAUAAUAAUAUGAAUAGUUCUGAUUAUAAACAUAAAAUUCUAUAAAUUGACAACGAACAAUUUUGAAAAUUUUUUAGUAGGAUUUACUACUAAUAGUAGCCAAGCAUUACAAUUCCAAAAAGUCGACCAGUUGUGUUUACGUGGCUGUCUAAAAUUCUACAUAUAUACACAAGCUACUACCAAACCAAGAAACAGAAAAAAGGACAGCCAUAUGUUAAGAUAACAUCAAUUUAUCCGAUCCAAGAAAGCCUUGAGAUUCUUGUCAGAAGACCCACCUUCACUCACAGCCUCUCUUGCCAAAUCUUUCCAUUUCUUAGCAUUCCUUCUCAUCUCUUCACCAAUCUCCCCACUUCCCAUGACCAACUCCAAACACCUUUUGAGCUCGUCACCCGUAACAAUCCCCUUCUCAUUUGGUGUCACCCUCAAUCCUGUCUUCCAAGCGUCCUCUAUCAACUUGGCAUUCGUUCCUUGGUCCGUCCACUGAGGAAACGCCACGACUGGCACCCCCGAAGCGAAGCUUUCCAAGCUUGAAUUCCACCCACAAUGUGUCACAAAGCAACCCAACGAAGGACUUGACAGAACCUCCACUUGACUACACCACGGCACUAUCCUCCCUAGCUCUUCCAAUUCCUCUCUGCAACUCAACAUCUCUUCUUCUUCCUUCGCCUCAUUAUCUUCUCCCUUCUUAUUGACUUUAUCUCUAAUAACCCACAAGAACGGACGGCCGCAAUCCAACAACCCUUUGGCGAUUUCCUCCAUUUGGGCCUUUUCCAACACACAAAUGCUUCCGAAGGACACAUAAAUCACCGACCCUUCCGGCUUCAAGUUCAGCCACUCCAGGUACGGAGAGUCCUUGGAUUUUUUGAGAAGAUCGCCUCCAAAUGACUUGUCCGAUGGAUCCUUGCCGUCCAAGAAAGUCGUCGGAAUCAAUGGCCCGACUCCAAUCAAAUUGUACUUUUCAGUUGCUUUUAAGGCUUCCGGCUCUAGUGCAUCGAACGUGUUCACUAGAAUGAUCGGGUUGGUUUCUCUCUCCAGCAGAUCCAUCUGUUCUUGAAACAACGGGAGGGCGAAAUUGUAGGGAUUUGUAUCCACCAUGAAGGAGGGAAGGUCUCGGCUUGUAAGAGAUAAUGGCAAACCUGGUAACUCUAUUGAACAUGGAAGGGCAUCGUUCGUACCAGAACUAGUAUUAUCCCGGAUGAGAUCUUUGAACCCGUUAAAGUAAUAGUAGUAGAUGUCGAAAACUGUGGCUGGUUGAAUCCAAAGCAGCACAUUUGGGAGGUGAAGUUCAUGCGCCACGUCCGCGGCCCAGGGGAGAAGUAUUGUGUAGACCAUGCAAGUGUAAGGGUGACCCUCGUUUUCACUUGAGACUACAAGGUCGGUGAUGGCUUGUGCUCCGUGGUGCCGCAACUCCGACAAGUAGUGGUCGAUGUUGUCUCCGGGCUUAAACCCGUCGUCGUAACCAUCAGAGAAGGGCGCAUAAGUCAAUCCAUCUGGAAUUGAGCCAUUGCCAAUGCGAUGAUGGGCUGAGAGACUGGUAAUGAAGGUGACAUGCGCACCUGUAGUGUUGAUAAGGCGCUUGGCGAAUUGGAGGGAAGGGUUGAUGUGGCCUUGAGCCGGAUAUGUGACAAGUAGAAAGCGGUGUUGCACCAUGGCAGCGUAUGCGAUUGCGGAGGUGCGCGGUGGAGCGUGGAGUUGUUGGAAGUAGAAUAAGUAGGUACCUAGUUUACUGGUGGAAAAUUUGGUGCUGUGGGCUUAUUAGCUUAGUGAAGUUGAAAUUCUUGUGGGAGUACGUAUUCAAGGUGGGGAAUGCGGUGAGAGAAUGGCAAGGCUUAAAUAGGGGUUUGGGGGCGGAAAUGUGACGUUUGUGGUGACGAAUUGAAGGCGCUGGUGACAAAGCAAAGAUGAGGACACUUGUGAUUUGUGGUCUUCUCGGUGCAUGCAUAUAAUAUUAUGGGUAAAGACACGCUCAUUACAUAUUUAUACCAUUAUUUGUAUCAUUUCUAUAAUAACGAUGCGAUCCACAUGUUUUGGUGGACUUUACCUCUGAGAGACUAUACAAAAUGUGAUAAGUGUAGCAUUAUUCCUAUUUAUAUCAUAUUUUGUAAAUCAUAUGAUGUAAUUGUUGAUGAUUUGAUUAUUACUUAAGCUUUGAUUAACGUAAUUAUUUUUUAUUAAUAACACAUCACAUAUAUAAUGUACAAAUUUAGUCUAAAGUUAAUCUACCCAACAUUACUCUUUUAAAAUUGGUUUCAUCAAACUUCGUAGCACAUCACAAAGACUAAAUCCAAUCUAAUGUGGUAGGAUAGACAAAUCAUCGAAAAACUGAUAAAUAUACUUGCUAGUGUUUGAAUUGUUAGUUUAUUAAUUAUUAUUUCGAUCUGGUUUGGUUGGCCGAAUAAUAUAUUAGGCCUCGUUAAGUCAGGAGUGAGGCCAUGAAUAAUUGGGUUCGUACUAAAGAGCCUACACGGUUCAUCAUGGAUGUGACCUUGAGGUCUUGUCUUCAAUACUAGAAAAAAACUCAGGACCAAGACACGAUCCGAUGGUGGCACGCUCCCGCACCCUAAAACUGAAGGGAAAGAGAUUAUUUCUAGAUUUCUUCCACCCAGUCUACCAAAUCCACUUAUUUGAAUUAUUGAAAUUUGAUCUAACAGUUAAAGUUAUUAUAACUUUUAAAGGGUCUUUCUGUUUGUAACCGUUGAAUCAAAUUUCAAUGGCUCGGAUAAGUGGACUUUGUGGACUUAGUGAAAGAGAUCCGGAGAGAAUCCCUUUUCCAAACUAAAGUCCUAAAACUAAAAGAAGGGCCAAAUUUGUUUCUUGUGAUCCUAAGCCGAAAGGAGACAUGUUAAAAUAUCUCACAUCGAUAUAAUGAAAGAGAAAAUAAGAGUUUAAAUAUUAUAAUUCUACUCCAACUAAUAUUGAGAUCUUUUGUGUUAAAAACCUCACACCUAUUAAACUGUGCAAGUGCUAAUUAACAAAUUGGAGACAAGAUCGAUAGUGUUGGAAGUAGAUCUUUAUCCGUUUUUUUAAUAAUUUGACAAAGCAAACAUACAUACGCUCCAUAUGUCGUAAUUUAGUACGAUAUGAAGCGUAAGAAAGAAAGAAAAAAAAAAAAGCAGCCAAAUAGUUUUGGUGAAAUGAAAUAUGAAAUAACCUCUACCGUGGGACUCAUACUCUAUUUUAUAUAGUCUAAUACUUUAGAUAUCUUUCAUCUUAUCAGUACAUUAUCCUAAAUUCCUAAUCCUGCUAAGAUUCCUAGUCAGACUAAACUUCCCUAACUAAGCUAGAUGGUUGUAGUAUUGUCUUCAAUCAAGCAUGCGUGAUGCGUGAUGAGUACAUAAUAAGGACUAGUAGGUUUGACGUGGUAAGAGAGACAAGGUGAAUUUAGUGACCACAAACUGAUUAAUACACAUACAAAUUUGUGAUUUCUCUAGGGCCCCGUUUAUCAUAUGCCGAAUUUGAUUGAUCCAGCUGCAUCACACUAAAAUUGAUUGGUCCAGCUGUAUCACACUAACUUUCGUUUGACAACAACGAUUGAUGACGUAUUUUAUAGGAGACGUGAGCAUGCCAAAUGUACAAAAAGUGUGGCAUGACCGUUGUCAUGCUUUUUGUAGAAUUUUUCAGAUCGACAGGCCAAAAGUCCAUUCCAAUAAUAUCGAUAUUGUUCCCACUUAACCGUUUGCACAAUCCUCAGGUGUGGGGUUUUAUCACAAAAUGUCUUGGUGUUAGUUAGAGUAGGGUAUUUCUAUUUAAAGUGCUUUCUUUCUUGGCUUUUAGUUCUACUCCAGCAACAGCACGCUUGCUUUGUGGCUAUUGCCUCAUUUUCUUGUACUGUUGUUGACCCUAAAAACUAUCAAACUUACGUGAUGUGCAUGCCGAGUAACUAAGAACUAACUAUGUCCUUCUUGUGGUUGAUGCGGGUGUGCCACCUUGCCGCCGAGAUGAAUUGGGCGAGUGCAAUAAGUGUGGUGGUGGUGUCAAUUGCGUAGCUGGCUUCUAGACCUAGGGUUUUGCUAACUUGAAGACAAUGUUGCUAAUCUCACAGUGAAGUUCAAUCAAGAUUCGGCUUUCGUUGUGCCAAAGGGGUAACCUAAGAACACAUCACUUCGUUGAAGCUGAUGAGAUGAUCUCUUGAGACAAAAGAAUAGAGAAUUCCUUGUCCGCCGAGACUUGAAUAGAUAACCAACAAGGAUAUGAGAGUUGUUUAAAGGUCUCUUCAGUCAGGCAUGUUCUACGCCUCCAAUGCUGUUUAACCAAACUGAAGGUGUCGCCGGUUGUUGAUACAGUGAUGUUUAACCAAACUAAAUAUUUGUCAACAGGGAGGGGUUAAUGAGUAAUUAGUAUUUUUUUUCAGGUUGUGGAGGGUAUCUCAUAAAAGCGUUGAUUUUUGUAUGAGCGACUACAGGCGAGGAAGGAAUGCCUCUAGACCUAGGGCUCUAGAACCUAAACACAAGGUUGCUUAAUUCACUGCGAAGUUGAGGAUAUUUUGCACCAGGUUCGGCAACUUCAACUAUAUCCUUGAAAAUAUAAGUAUGCCAAAUAGGUAUUAGGCUAUAAGGACAAAGAUACUCAAAUGAAAUGAGAUCUUUAUGGUGAAUGUUGUUCAGCAGUCUGAAUGUCGAACUUCCAAAUACACUUACAAGUAACUAAUCAUAGAACAUCUCACUUCGCUAGGGGAGCUAAUAAAGUGACCGCUUUCAGCGAAAGUAUCAAAGACUCAUCGUUGGCUGAGACUUGGAGGUAGCCAACUAAACCAGAAGUAGUACUGUUUAACCAAAUUGAAGGUACUCCUAGGCCGCCUAAUUCAAUGGCUCUAGUGACUUUUAGCCGAACUGAAUAUGUUUCCUAUUAGCCAACCCAAUGAUGUUUAAACGAAGUAAAUAUGUACUGACAGAGGGAUUAUGAUAAUUGGUAUUUUUCUGAAGAUUGUGAGAAGAGUUUCGGGAAGAACGAGGUUCUUUGCGUAACCCGUUUGAGCUGUUUGUUGAGUUGAAAGGGAAUUUUCACGUUGCAUAGCCUCUCAUAUUUAUAGGACGGCAAUGCUUCGGCUAACAGGUUCCGAAACCAAUUAGAACUGCAGCAUGCUCCUGGAGCUUUAUCCCAUUUUACUUGCUAACUAUCUGAUGCUUAAGUCCAGAUAACAUCUCAUGAGAAACAAUUCUCAUUUGGGGUCAUGUGCAUGAGGCCUACUUCCCUCCUAAGAUGGGACUCUAUCAUUAGUUACAUGGAAGAUAUCAUAUCCUUUGCCCCGACACGUUGCAUGCAUAUCCACAUAAGUUACAAAUAACAAACCUAUUUGAUGUGCUUCUCACCGUGCCCAUCUUAAUAGUCAUUUAUCUUCUUUGAAUUUGUAGAAUUGGAAAGCAAUCACACUGCUCAUAAACCUCAAAUGCAGCUCGUGCUGAAAGAGAGUCCAUAACUCCUGGAGCUUUAUUUCUCCCCCGAGUCCAUCGUCAGUGAAACCGUGGUACACAAAGGAAAGAGGAUGCUCUCCGGAUCCUCUUGAUGGGGAUCCUAAGGAUCUUCACAUCUUAACCGUUUAUCGUACGUUCAGUUUUCAUCAGGUACUAUUUGUGUUUGAUUGUAAAUAAAAAAAUUCAAAUAAUUUCUAGCUGCACGAUAUACGAUGAAUGACUAAGAUGUGAGGAUUCUUAAGAUUUCCACCAUUUGAAUCUAGAUGGAAUCCAAAUCUUACUAAAUGAUAGGAUGAGACAAAAUUGUAGCUGUGUUGGAGAAAGAGUGUCAACUUCGCUUUUGUUGCAUGCGGGACAAAUUGUGUAAUAUUGGGUCCAAACAAGUUUACUCUAAAAGACAGAGUGAAACUGUGAAUAGAAAGAGUGCCUCCUCAACCGGUUUACCAUCGGCCACAUGUGAUCAUUUGCAUGUCUUAUGAUGCUAAAAACAAACAAGAAUAAACAGAAAAACCCCAAAUUUUCAACAAGAUAGCGACGUAGCACUACAUGGUUUCCUCUUGGUAUAUAAGCCAAACUACAGAAAAAAUAAACGUCAUCCAUGAUGAUAUCUGAAAAAUCAGACUGCAACCAAAAUUUACAAUACAUCUUUUAGCUUGUCUUUUGCUUUGCAUAUCACGAAAAACAUAUAUACACCUCACAGCAAAUGAAAUUAUAGCACGUGUAUAUUCAUUCUGGAUAAUACGGAAGAGUUCAAGAGGCUACAUGAGGGAUUUAACUAAGUUGAGCAGCUAUGCACUCAAAAUUAGCUAAAGGGGAUGAAAGAAGGGGAAAACGGUUAGGAUUAUGAUAAGUAAAUAGUGCAGUUCUUUUCUAAUGUCAUAAAAAAAAUACAAAAAUAUUUACGACUAUAAUAAAUAAAUAGUUCGUUGAUCAUUUUCUAGCGUAAACGAUUGAUCCUGGAACAUCUCAAUAAUCAAAUCUAAAGCUGAAGAGGUAGAUGUUGUGAUUCUUCAUCAGUCCUAGCAAGGUUAUAAUGCGCCUAGAGGAAAAUCAUUUUUUAUUUUAAAUGAAUGUUUUUAUUAUCGAGCAAUCUAUCUCCUACCUCCAAAUUUGUCAUAUUUUUCCUUUAUUCUUUCUAACUUACCUUAAAAAUAAUAACUCAUGUAUUUCAAUUCAUUUCUCUCUGCCAAAUGAGCCUGUAGUUACUUGAGAAACGCUAAGAAAACUCUUUCAAAGUGAGACUAUUUAUGCACUAUCUGUCACUUCACUGUUUAACGUCAAUUCUCAUGUCAAUAUUAUAAAAUAUUAUUUUAAAACAUGAGGUAACAAAUAAUCUAAAAAAAUUACUUUUGAGAGAAUCUGUUUAGCAUUUCUUAUAGUAACUUAUUAAACCAUUAAGUAUCUUUGAGCUCAUUUCGGAACAAAUGUGAACCUUUAUUGUGAGGUCGACUACUGUCAGUUCAUUCCUAUACCUUGGUCCUUGGUCGACGCUCAAAUUAUUUUUUCCAAUUAAAUCCAAGUAUAAGUGACUCGAGCAGAGUUCCUGUGGUAUUUUCUCUCUUAAUUUUCCUCUUUCUUUUCUUUUUUCAACGAGGGCUUUGGUUUCUUCUGUGAGAUAGAGGUUGUUGAUAGAUAGAUGUCUCUUCCAUUUUUUUUGAGAGUAUUUGAUGCCAAUAAUUAUCCACUGAGGUUCUUUUUUGGAUAAAAUUUAUGGGGCCCCAAUUUAUCCAAUUUGAUUAUAGAUUGACAGAAACUAACAUUUGGGAUUUGUUGAAGGAUAAAUAUUUCAAUGUACCGAGAACACAAUUAUGUAUAUCUAUUGUUAUUACAAAAGUGGUUGGAGUUUCUUUUCGAAGAUCUAACUACAUGUUUUAUAACAUUUUGUGUAUGUAACUGUAUUUCUCUUAUAUUGAAAAAUCUAUCAUAUUAGUCUAGAGCCCGGAGCAUUAUCGGUAUGAAAAAAUGGACAAAGUACUACAAUAUUCUAGAGAAUUAGAACCAUAUCUUAUGGGUUUAAAUUUACAAUCGUGUUUUAAUUUUAAUUUUCUGUCAUUCAAUGGAGUAGUGGGCCUUCAAAUAAUAAUAGAGUUCUUGCUCAAAAAUGCAGAUUCAUUUAUUUUAGGGAGGCUUUAAAUUCGAUCUCCAGUCAUUAACACUCUUUAAUUAAAAUCUUUAUGGUAUAUAAUUUUUUUUUUUUUUUAUCAAAGUCCAUUGACUUUGUACACGUCGUUAUAUUACUAUUAGUAUGUAUAUUUCUAUAUGGGAUCAUGCUAGGGAAAUCAAAUUUUUAAACCAAAUUGCAAACCAAAUGAUGUGUCAUCUCGUUAUAUUCCCUAAACCAAUAAGAAACAAACACGUUAAUCGAUACUUAAUUAAUAAUUUAAUCAUAUACAACCACAUUGUGACAAACCGUCCCUAAUUUUACAAUUUUAUAAAUUUUAAAGGCAUGAUUUUACAAAAAUACCCUUAGAAGUGAGGGUGUUGACUUUCGUUGAUCAAUGUAUAGUGAGACAUACGACUUAUUCUUUCAGCGUAUUUUGCGUAGUACCUGUUGAUACGAACGCAUAGACACAAGCGGAAGUGAACUUGGAACUACGUUUAAAGUUUUACGGAGCUACAAAUCCGAAAAGUACGUUUCUAAGGAUUUCCAUUAUUUAUUAUUUUAUACUUUCAUAAGUAUUAUUAAAUUAGUUUAAGGUUAUCUUGUGGAAAAGAAAAAAGAAAAGAGAAGAAGAAGCUGCAUGAUGGUAGCGAGUAAAAUGAGAAAAAGAAAAAGGAGGAACAAAUCGAGGAGCUGCCCAAUCAGGAGAAAGGGAAGAAAGAGGGAGAGACCAAUCAGAAGAAGAAAGGAAGGGAAGGGAGAGAAGUGUGAUGUACAGGAUCGGAUUCCCGACCCAUUUUGGUUCGACCCAACUGGCAGUAGCACCAAGUGUCUAGAGCCAUUCAUGGCGUUUUUCGGUGGAUUGCAGACACCCACCAUCUAGAACCAACUCAUCAUCAUCUCCUCUUCCAUAUUCAGCCAUAAAUCAACACGAAUUGAUCACGUUCUUGUGAGAUAGCACUAGAGGGGUUCGCGAUGUACGGUGGCGAAAUCCACCAUUUCUGAAAUGAAUACCUUCUAUCUCCACCACUAUUAGACUCUCCUUAAGCCUUGGAACAAAGCCCAAUUGGUUGUAGGGGCGUCGGAACACCAUGGAAGGUGAAUCGAAGAACACCCAUUCUAGGGUUUCCGUCGGGUGCGAGCCAAAUUGGAGCCUUUCUCGGUCAAAUUGGGCUUGGCCACAGGCGAUGAUGGUUUGUGACGCCUCAAUAUUCGUGCUAGAGAAUUGUAGCGCGGACUUCAGGUGAGUGGGUCUUUUCUUUUUAUAAUAUAUAUAUAUAUAUAUAUAUAUAUAUAUAUAUAUAUAUGAUUGAUAGUUCCACAAAUGCUUUUAAAUUGAUUUAUGCAUUUUAUGUCAUGUCAUAUAUAUAUAUAUAUAUUUUAAAUACUAUGAUAUAGUUGAGUUUUAGAUUGCAUCAUGGCAUAUCUAUAUGCAUAUUACCUGCAUAUAAUUGUUGUCUUUGAAGUGCUAUGGUGAAUGCGGGACGCGUAGGUAAGUUCAGGUGAGUUUAGGGUGUUAUUUGAAAUGAUUGAGUUAUGGCAUGACUAUAUUUAUGUUUUAUGCAACUCCGACACUGUCGUACAGGUUGCAAUGAUGGGCAACUCCGGCACUGUCGUACAUGUUCCAAUGAUAGGCAACUCCGGCAUUGUCGCACAAGUUGCAAUGAUAGGUAACUCCGACACUGCGGCACUGUCGUACAUGUUGCAAUGAUAGGCAACUCCGGCACUGUCGCACAAGUUGCAAUGAUAUUGAUUUAUGAGUCGUAUAAGUUGCAUUAGGUAACUCUGACUCCUGUGUCAGCAUAGAUUGAUGAACACCUGAUUUUAUUAUGUUGCUGUUGAUAUGUAGUGAUUUGGAAUAUUUUUGGAUUUAUUGUUGUUUUGCAUUUGAUUUCAUACUAUAACGUAGUAUGACUUUCUGGAAACUAUAUGGGUUUUACAGCGAGGGGUUAUAAUGUUUUCAUAAGGUUUUUAUUAAAAUUUUAUUUUCAGGCCCACUCACCCUUGUUUUUUGCCCCUCCAGGUUUUAAUAGGUGAGCUUUCUUAUCGACGAGGAUUUGUGGCAAAUCUUGGUAUUGGAGAUUACCUUCAAUGGUAUGAUUCUCAAUCCACUCUACUGUACUUUACUUAUGCUCUGACGUCACGUGUGAAAUGAGUUCAUUCUCGCUCACAAUGCAUUCUUGUAUUUUGGCAGUUUUAGGUUUAAAUUUAUUCACAUUUUCCACAUCACUACACUUUAUGGCUUCGUCACCUUGUAGGUGUCGGCCAUUAUAGCUUGAUUCGGAGUCCUAGUGGACAUUUCGGGUCGGGGUGUGUCAACAUCAUUUGGUUUGCAAAUUUGAUUUAAAAAAUUUGGUCUCUCUAGAUUACCCUUCUAUAUGUUUGACAUUUUAUGAGAUUUAUGAUCCCAUAUUGUGUGUAUAAUAUGACAUACAAAUGUCAAAUUUAAAAUCCCUCUUUACAUUACUAUUAGAAAUGGCUACAAUAAAAAAUUUUCAAAAAAUUUGAUUGAAUAAAAAGUAACAACAUAACAAUACAAAAUAAUAAAUGGCAAAGGAAUGUAUUCAUAGCAUUAAAAAAUUGGUACAUUUUAAAUAUAAAAUUUUACAAAAAAAAAGGGUAUUUUUUACAUAACAAAGUGGUACAUUUAUAAAGAAGAAUGGGUACAUUAUAAAUAACUUAUGGGUGCAAAUAAAAGAUUAAAAAGUCAUGAGUACAAAUGAAAUUUUAAAAAAUAUGGGCUCAAAAAGAAAUUAAUAUAUGGGUACAAAUUAAAAUUAAAAAGAAAACUAGUACAAAUUAAAAAAAAAGGGCUGCAAAAUAAAAUAAAGUACAAAUUAAAAACAGAAAUAUAUGAUUUAAAUUUUAGUUAUAAAUUAAUAUAAUAUAUCAAAUGUAACGUCACCACCCGUCCCGAAUUAUUUUAUCGAUAACGUGGAAAUUCCUUUUAUACCCUUGAGCGUUGUGUGAUGUCGUGUGUUAUGAGUUUUAGAUGUGGACCAAAUAGGUUAAGUUCUAAUUGUUUGAACCCGAUUAGAACUAAGUUUUCAUUAUUUUUUAUUGGUGACAAGCUAGACCACACCCUCACACACACACAUAACUCACGUGUACCCUCUCUCUCCUCCCUCUCCUCCCUCUCUCGGAUUUUCUUACCAUUUUACAACUUAUAUGGAUAACCCUCAAAACCCUUUCAAACUUCACAGAUCGAGGUUGUGAUUGGUGUUUUUGGACUCCUUGCAAGCUCAGGAGUCGAAUGGUGGUGGUGGUUGGACGUGAAAACCUUGAAAACCCGAGAACCCAGAAUCUCAGAUUUUGAGCACUGUUCAUGCAGUCAUCAUCGUGGCCUUUUCUUCUAGUUUUAAGGUUCUAGAAAGCUUUAGGACAUCUUCACGAAGCUCAGGGAAGAAAGUUUGAGUGUUUUGGACGUCGAGAAGCUUAGUUUGAUGAGUUUCAAAUUUUGGCUGGAUUAUCGAGGUUUCUCCGACAAGGUUCCGUGGGAUUUAGGGCUUAAAAUUGGUAAGGUUUUGUUCUACUCGUUGUAAGCUUCAUUUUGGUACAAAUUUCAUGAAUUUUGGUUGAGAAAUGGAGAAGAUAUUGAAGUUCUAAGAUUUUUCUAGUUUCUGGCGAUUGCAGCAGUACCGGCGUCGGACUCCAGUGAACCAAGGAAAAAGGAGGAGAAUAUUCCGUCAAAGUUGACGAAAUAUUCUAACGCCGUCAGGUAAUUCUAACGGUAUAUGUUGUUUUUAACGGAAUAUUCCUAAUGCCAUCAGGGAAUCCGUUUGGUGUGACAGGCACGUGCUUGCGCGUGAGCCGCGCGUCUGGUCCUGCCUUGGCCGGCGCAUGAGGGCGCGUGGGUGUUCAGAAAUUUUUUCUAAAAAUAUGGGGAUGUUCUUGAGGUUGAGUAGGUUAUGGUGGUAUAUUCAAAUACCCCAUUUGAGCAAUGUAUGAGAAGUUAUUUCCUAGUUUUGUGUAUGUGCUUUAAAUAAUGUUUAUUUAGUUAUUUUGCAUAUAGGUGAGACCUAUCCGGAGGACGAGCGCCAUCAAUCGAGGCUCGGGGGCUACGACCCUUUGACAUAUCAGUGAGUGGGCUUUUGGUUUUCAGUAUAUACCUAUAUACUUGAGAUUUUUCCUAGAAAAUGAAUUUGAAUGAUUAUACGUUUUGAAAUGCCAUGCAAAGUAUCUGCCUAUUUUAUUUAUGCAUUAGUAGUUGCAUAUAUUUAUGAUUGGUGCUGCGGACGCACAGGUAAGUGCCAGGUAAGUUCAUAAAUUAAAGAUAAGAGAUUACUUCAGUUAUGCGAGAUAUGAUGUGAUGUAUUGAGAGCUCAUAAACUUGCACCCCGGUGUUAGUGCUCCCGCCCAUAGUUAGGGCACAAUCCUUCAUGUGAUUGUUCACCUCCCACACCAUAUGCUCACCUUGGAUCCAAGUUAGGUGCACAGGCUUGUCGUACAGACCACUUUAGGUGGUUCCGACUGGUAGGUGACCCGCGAUCAUUCACACAGUCUUCACGUGAUCGUAGCACUAAAGCAUAUUUAUUUUACACCUAGUCCUGUCGUACAGACCACUUUAGGUGGUUCCAACUCUUGUGCAUAAUUUGAUAUGGUUGAGAUUGGUUAUGAGAUAUAGACUCAGCCGUGCAAAUUAAUUGAGGGCAAUUCGGCUGAUAUGAUAUCUGACAUUGAUAUAUUUUAACUGGAUUACUUAUAGCAUUUCAUUGAGAUACUUUGGCAUGGUAUAUUUCUAUGGAUUUUUAUCCUGAGCAUAAUUUCUGAUAUAGCAUAUAUUAUAUUUCUGGGAAAUUAUACAGGUUUUACGGCAAGGGAUUAGAACUUUUGAGAAAUGAAAUGAUUUUGAAAAGCUUUGUUUUUGCCCACUCACACUUUCUGUUUUGCGCCCCUCUAGGUUUUAGGUAGAAGUGCUUUGGUGGCUCACGGGGAUUUCGGCGGUGGUUCUGACAGAACAUCACAAAUGUAGGAUUACCUUUGGGUGUUAUAUAUCUAGUACUUGUCCAGUGGGAUUGCACUUAGGCUAUUUACGCUCUGAUGAUGUAUUUCACACUUAAUCUCGCACUUGUACCUUAUCUUAAUUAGUACUCUAGUUGAUUUGAUUUUUGUUAAUUCGUAUUUCCUUAUAUCUUUAUUGCUUCCGUACUGUGCACAUGGCUACGUCAUCUUCAUGUGACGACCAUCAUACCUCGAUUCAUGUCAGGGUGUGUCAUAACGUUUCUAACACCAAAUGAAUAUAUUUUAGAAAUAAAAUUUAAUUAUGCUACUAUGUAUAUUUUAUUAUUGAAAUGAUGACGGUCAUUAAAACCUAAGAACCUUGAUAAAAAUUAAAUUGCAAAAAGAAAAAAAGGUUUUAUUCUCAAAAAAAUCAAUGAAAUAGAAAAAAGAGGGAUGGAAACCUAAUUUCUCCAUCAACUUACUUCAAGAUAAUAAAAUUGAAAACUGUGUUAACUAUGUUGGCAUGUGAUUUAGACUACUAAGAAUCAAAAUCAUGUGUUUUAAAAGGGAAAUGUUUUUGCACUCUAGAAAUCUUAUUCUAAACUCAUCAUAAAUGCAUUUUGCUUUCUAAUUAUAGACGAUUUGGAGUGUAAUAUGAGAUUUUUGAAGUGCCAAUAACAAUUCCCUUUUAAAAUUCUUUAAAUAGAAAUCACAAACUUGGUGUCAACUUCACCAAUGGACAGAAUACUUCAUUAAACAAAUCCAAAUAGACACAGUACAACUUGCAACUAGCCUUUAGAAAGGAUUGUCAUACAUAAAAGGAUGCCACUUUUGUAAACAAAGCAUGAGUAAUAGUUCUUCUCUGCAACAUUUACAAAACAGUAAAUAAAGGAAAUACGUAAAAAGGUUUCAACUCAAAAAGAAAAAUCCUCCUUAUAGGUCCAAGAGUGGCUAGUAGAGAAAACCUAGAGACCUAAUUGAGGGAUGAGAUGUUGUUGAUGCCCUAGAGACGACCAACCACCCACACCACCAAUUUCGCACCAUAAAAUAGACCUCUAGAUAGUAUCAUAUACAGACUUUCAAAAGCCCCAAAUAAUAAAAAAGCUAAACCACAAACAUACAACAUUAUAGCACCCAUCACAAAACUCAGAUUUAUCACCAAUUAACCUACUGUUCGAUUGGAGCAAAUUUGUAAGAAUUAGAACUUAAGUGCAGAUGGGAUAGCACAUUACGAUCUAAUUCUUAUUUGCAAUAACAAUGGAGACAACAACACAUUUUAAAAGUAAAAUGAAAAAGUAAUUUUUUUUUGUCGAAAAGAUAGAAAUUUAUUAAAGCCAAACGAUAAGGUUUACAUCAACUGCAAGAAUAUUAAAUAAAUAAUCCGAGCCAAUCUUAUCCCAAAGGAACUUGCCACCAUAAUUGGUAGCAAACGAAGCCACCUCAUGGGCAGCAAAGUUACUAUCCCGCGGAACAAAUCCAAACUUUACAAAAGUCGACCAGUUGUGUUUACGUAGCCGUCUAAAUUCUACAUCUAUGUAAACUACUACCAAACCAAGAAACAUAAAAAAGGACAGCCAUUUGUUUAAGACAACAUCAAUCUAUCUGAUCCACUGUUCUAAAAAUCCCUGCCUAGGCGCUAGGUGGCCGGCCACCGCCCCAAUUAAUGCUUAGGCAUUUGAAAAUUAAGAAAGGGCACCUAGACCUACUAAGGAGCCUGUCUAGACCGCCUAGCCCGCCCAGACCUGCCUAGGUUGCGACUCACUUACAGAAAAUAGAUAACUUUCACUUUGCAUUUUAUAUUUUCAAUAAAUUGUAAGAGACUUGUUGAAUACUUAAAUGAACACACAUUAUAUGCUUAUUCCCACUUUUCAUUAUGUUCCAACCGCUCAUAAUAGAUAUGUCAUUCUAUUUUGUUGUUUAUGAUGACAUCAUAUAUAUUUUAAGCAUAAACAUACACUUACUUACACGAAAUAUAAUAGAUUUAAUCGAAUCCGUCUAGGCGCCUGCCUAGACACCUAGCCGCGUAGUUGCCAGGCCCCAGGUCCUAGGCCGCCACCCGACUAGUGCCUAGCAUCUUUUAAAACCUUGAUCUGAUCCAAGAAAGCCUUGAGAUUCUUGUCCGAAGAGUCCCCUUCACUCACAGCCUCUCUUGCCAAAUCUUUCCAUUUCUUAGCAUUCCUUCUCACGUCUUCACCAAUCUCCCCACUUCCCAAUACCAAAUCCAAGCACCUCUUGAGCUCCUCACCCGUAACUAUCCCCUCCUCAUUUGGUGUCACCCUCACUCCUGUCUUCCAAUAGUCCUCUAUCAACUUGGCAUUCGUCCCUUGGUCCGUCCACUGAGGAAACGCCACCACGGGCACCCCUGAAACCAAGCUCUCCAAACUUGAAUUCCACCCACAAUGUGUCACAAAGCAACCCAACGAAGGACUAGAGAGAACCUCCACUUGACUACACCACGGCACUAUCAUCCCGAGCUCUUCCAAUUCCUCUCUGCACCUCAACAUCUCUUCUUCUUUCUUCGCCUCGUUAUCGUCUCCCUUCUUGUCGACCUUAUCUCUAAUAACCCACAAGAACGGAAGGCCGCAAUCCAACAACCCUUUUGCGAUUUCCUCCAUUUGGGCCUUUCCCAACACAGAAAUGCUUCCGAAGGACACAUAAAUCACCGACCCUUCUGGCUUCGAGUUCAGCCACUCGAGGUAUGAAGAGUCCUUUGAUUUUUGGAAAAGAUCGCCUCCAAAUGACUUGUCCGAUGGAUCCUUGCCGUCCAAGAAAGCGGACGGAAUCAAUGGCCCAACUCCAAUCAAGUUGUACUUGUCAAUUGCUUUUAAGGCUUCCGGCUCUAGUGCAUCGAACGUGUUGACUAGAAUGGUCGGAUUGGUUUCUCUUUCCAACAGCUCCAUCUGUUCUUGAAACAACGGGAGGGCGAAAUUGUACGGAUUUGUAUCCACCAUGAAGGAGGGAAGGUCUCGGCUUGUGAAAGAUAAUGGCAAACCUGGUAAUUCUAUUGAACAUGGAAGGACAUUGUUCGUACCAGAACUAGUAUUAUCCCGGAUGAGAUCUUUGUACCCGUUAAAGUAAUAGUAGUAGAUGUCGAAAACCGUGGCUGGCUGAAUCCAAAGCAGCACGCUUGGGAGGUGAAGUUCAUGUGCCAUCCCUGCCGACCAAGGGAGAAGUAAUGAGUAGACUAGGCAAGUGUAAGGGUGACCCUCGUUUGCACUUGCGACUACAAGGUCGGUAAUGGCUUGUACUCCGCGGCGCCGCAGCUCUGACAUGUAGUCGUCGAUGUUGUCGCCGGGCUUAAACCCAUCGUCGUACCCAUCAGAGAAGGGCGCAUAGGUCAAUCCAUCUGGAAUUGAGCCAUUGCCUAUACGGCGAUGGGCUGACAGACUAGUAACGUAGGUGACAUGCGCACCUGUAGUGUUGAUAAGGCGCUUGGCGAAUUGGAGGGAAGGGUUGAUGUGGCCUUGAGCUGGAAAUGUGACGAGUAGAAAGCGGUGUUGCACCAUGGCGGCGUAUGCGAUUGCCGGAGGUGCGCGGUGGAGUGUGGAGUUGUUGGAAGUAGAAUAAGUAGGUAUGUAGUUGAUUGUUGAAAAAUUUGGUACUGUGGGCUUAUAAGCUGAGUGCAGUUGAAAUUCUUGUGGGAGUAUACAUUCAAGGUGGGGAGUGCGGUGAGAGGAUGGCAAGGCUUAAAUGGGGGAUUGGGGGUAGAAAUGUGACGUUUGUGGUGAAAAAUUGAAGACGCUGGAGACAAAUUUGCCAAGAUGAGAAGGAUACUUGUGAUUGUCAAUCCAUGCAUAAUAUAUGGAUAAUGUUAGGGAAACCAUCUAUUUAAAUCAUAUGACGUACUUGUUGAGGAUUGAAUUAUUAUUUAAGUGUUGAUUAACGUGUUUAUUUUCUAUUAGUGACACAUCACUUGAUUUUUAUUUUUUUUUGUUUAUCGUUAGGUAGGAUUUUGAUCAUGAAAAUAAAAGGACAUAGUCAUCUAUUUAGGAUUGUCCAAAGGUUUAUUAAAUUCAAUAUUUGAAACCUGUUCAAGAGGUUUAAUAUUGUCCAAAACCUAGAAGAUAAAUAACUACUGAAUAGGCUUAAAUCUUGAUAGAGUAGAGGGAAAAGAAGAAUGAGGAGGCAAGUACUACGCAAAAUAAAAUCUUCAUCUUGAGAACAAAUAUGUAAAACGAUCGUGCAAAUUUUUAAGAUGCAGACUUCAAGGGCACGUAUUGAUUUGAUAGGUUCAUGACGAAGAAUACAUGAAGGCAUGCACCUGGAUGUGGAGGGUAAUGGACAUUGCUGCGUGUUGGGUAGCUAUAUGAUUGAUUUCGUAGCUAGAGAGAGGAGGAAAAGAAUGUAGAGGUCUCUUGUGGCAGGCAUAAAAGAAGACAACUUAGAAGCAUUGUUCUAAAAAGCGACAUAGGUAGGUACUACGCGGAGGCUGGGUGCCCCGAUUAGGGCUUGUGCGUUUAAAAAAUCAAUGAAGCCUCUAGGCGGUAAUUGGGCGGCUGCUUAGGCGGCCCUGAGCCUACGCAGUCUAAUUUAUUUAUUUAAUUUUUUUUUAAGUUAACGGUUUGAAGAUAAUGUUCUUGUAAAUAACUCUAAAUAUAUAUUUCAUUUUGUGUAUUCAACCAGUUGUAGUCAUUUAUAUGUUUUUAUUGCUAUAAUAAAUUUAAUUAAAAUAAAAAAAAAUAUGUCUAGACCUAGACCUGACAUUCAUGUCGUGUUUUCCGUAUUCGUGUCGUUUUUGUGCCAUACUCGAUAUCUUAACGGGUCGUGUCGUGUAACACCCGUUAAAAUAAACGGGUAAAAUGAUCCGACCCGAAAUCGAUCCGAUAAUAUUAACAGGUAAUAUGACCCGACCUGUUACCCGUUAAGGAAAAUAUAUUUUAAACCAAUAAAUAAUCAAAUGAAAAAACAUAAUACUAAAUAAGUAUAUACAUACCAUAUUGUUACAUCCAAAACAUAAAAACGUAAUUUUCUUUUAAGUAUAUUUUCAAUAACCUAAAGUCUUUAAUAGUUUUUUAAUUAAUGUAGAAGUGUAAAAAAUAUAGAAAAAAAUAUAUAAACGCUCGUAAUAACAAGCUUUACAACUUUCAUGAAGAGCUUAACUUCGAAAUUUGCUACUAUAAUCAUAUAAAUCAUAGAUCAAAAUUUAACCGUUGAUUAUUGUUUACAUUUAUGCUUCAUUGUUCUCAUCAAAUUUUAUUUUUUCAGUUUUUCUUUUUUGAAAACUUGAUCUAUUAGAGGAUGCAGGAAGAUGAACGAUUUGGAUCGUAGAUAUUAUAUUCAGAGUUUUACGUUUAGUGAAAAUAUUGCUUGAUGUUUAUAAAGUUUCUACAAACUAUAUGACAUCAACUCAUAUUUCAGUUGAUUGUAAAUAUCGAAAUGUGAUAUCAAAGAUCUGAACCGUUUAUCUUCUUACAUCCGCCAGAUGAUUAUGUUUCAAAAAAGAAAAUUUUAAAAAUGAAAUUCAAUAAGAAGAAUAAAGCGUAAAUGGCAAUCGACGGUUAAAUAUAAAUUUAAGAUUUAUGAAUUAUAGUGUUGGAUUUCGAAGUUGACCCCUUCAUGAAAGUUGUAAAGUUUGUCACUAUGAGUGAUUGUAUAUUUUUUUUUUUACAUUUUUUUACACUUCUACAAUAAUUAUUAUUAAUUUUAUUAAUUUUGUCCUCAAAUAAAAAACAUUAUUUAUGAAGGUUUGGAGGAUUUUAAAAAUCUAAACGAUAAUGUAAGUGUAACCAUUAUCUACUCGUGGAAGAAUAAUGAUGAAUCAUGAGUGUUUAUAUAUUCUUUCACAUUUUUCAUACUUGUAUGUAUGUCUUCUUAGUUCUUGCCUAUACAAAUACUAUAUUAGUUUAUUUUAAUUUUGGACAACAACAUGUUAAGUAAAAUUUAUCCUAGUAAUGAUAAUAACGAACUCUCAUAAUAAAAAUAAAUAAUGACUAAAACUUUUUUUUUUUAAACUUAUAUAGAAUAAUAAUACAAAACUAUAUAUUUAAUAUAGAAUAUAUUGUAUAUAUUAAUAUGGCUAUUGUAUUUUAUAAUAAAUCUUUUAGUAAUUAAACUUUAAAUUAUCAAAAUAAAUUUUUUCUUAAUGGAUCGAAAUGACCACGUGUUAUCCGCAUGUAUACCCAUUAAGAACCCGUUAUUAAUGGGUUCUUAACGGGUCAUUCGAUAAUGACCCAAUAAGUUAUCGUGUUGACCCGAAACCCGUUAUUUUCGUGUCGUUUUCAUAUCGUGUCAGAAACUGCUGGGUCUAACUAGACCUUGCGACCCCGCCUAGGCCAAUCCCAUUAUUGGUGACUAUUUAGCUCUUCCAGCAUCUACCUGAUAAUAGUAUAAAAUGAAUACUCAGAUAGGGUGCCAUGUGUCAAUGGAUUAGUAGGGUUGGUAUAAGGUAGUUAAAGGUUGUUGAGAUUGUAGUGAUUUAGUGUGCAAGCAAGCUUUGUUAGUUAGAAGAAGAAUAUAUAACAGUUUGUAAGAAUUGUAUUACUCAUUAGAAAAUAUACAAGAAUUCAUUUUCCCUCUAUUUCUCUCUAUUAUCUCUCUCUCUCUCUAAAAACCUUCAUUGUUUUUCUGCAUUACUGCAACAUAAUCUGUUGCUUUACAUGGUAUCAUUCGCCUGUCAAUUUGAUCUUGGAUUUUGUGCUUUUGCCGCUCAAGAUCUUCUCCUUCUUUACUUCUGGAUCUCAUAAUUCUAAAAGUUUCUGAUUUUCUCUCCAUCUUGGUCAUGCACUCUAGGUAUUUGAUCAUAUCUCAUUCAUAAUUCUUCAAAGAAAAGCUACAAUGGUGAUUGCCAAUCAACUACAAUUCGUGCAAUCACCUAUCAUAUCUCUUAUCUCUAUCGUUUCUACGUCUGUUAAUGUCAAGCUCGAUGACUCCAACUAUCUUACUUAGAAUUUUCAGAUCCAGUUGCUACUCGAAAGCCAUGGAAUUAUGGGGUUCUUAGAUGAGUCUAAUCCUUGUCCUGAAAGAUUUGUUUCAUCUGGUUCAGGGGAAUCUAAAGUCGAUUAUAGGGAUUCAUCAUUAAGAAUUGAAACUGAUGCAUACAAGAUUUGGAAAAUGCAUGAUCGUGCCUUGAUGCAACUCAUUACUAUUACAUUAUCUUCAUCAGUUGUGUCUUGUGCUAUUGGAAGCACAAGUGCUCAAGAUUUAUGGAUUCGGCUCAAAGAACAGUUCUCUAUUGUCAAUCGUGCAACUAUAUUCCAAAUGAAAUAUGAGUUGCAAAAUAUCAAGAAAGGCACUGAUUCAAUAUCUCAGUAUUUGCAGAGAAUCAAUGAAGCUUGAGAUUAUUUGGCAGCUGCAGGAGUAUACUUCGAAGAUGAUGAUAUUGCCAUAUUAGCACUUAAUGGCUUACCAGGGGAGUACAAUACUAAAAGAUCUAUCAUUAGAAGUAGAGAAAGUGUUAUCUCUAUCAAAGACUUGAGAUCCCAGUUGCUUGAUGAAGAAGGAAUGGUUGAAAAUACUAUUGUUACUCCAUUUCUCUCUGCAAUGGUUGCCCAGAAUUCUGAGUCCAGUUCCAAGAACUCAUCUAUCUCAUCCUAAGAGUAUUCUGGUAAUCACAAUCAAGGAUUUUCUGGCAAUUCAAGUUAAGGGUAUUCAAGUAAUCAAUCUCAUGGCUUUUCUGGUGGGGGCAAUCAGGCUACCUACUUUGAGAAUAACUAUAACAAGAACAAGGGCAGAGGUAAAUUCAACUAAUUCAACUAUAAUUCUAAUUUUUGCAUACUUCUGUUUUUGGCGUUCUUGGUGCACCUCCAACUUGCCAAAUCCGUGGGAAAUUUGGACAUUUUGCUGAUACAUGUGGAUUUAGAAAUACUAAUAAUGCAUUACUUGAAGGGUGUCAAAUAUAUGGCAAGAAGAACCAUACUGCUCAAUUCUGUUACUUCAUAAAUGCAAAUAUAUCUGGAAAUACUCCUUAGAUGACUGCAAUGCAUGUGGCUUCCUCACAACCUACUCCAAAUUAUAAUGCUUCUUCUUAGCAAUUCUGGCUUACAGACUCAAAAGCAACAAAUCAUUUAACUACUGACUUGCAGAAUCUAUCCUUGUCUACUCUAUUCUCAUCCACAAAGACAAUUCAAACUGCAAAUGGUGCAGGUUUACCAAUAUCACAUAUUGGAUAUUCUCUCAUUCAUACACCUAUGCAACUUUAGAAGCUUAAUUCAGUCCUAUAUGUUCUAAGAAUUACUCAGAAUUUGUUAUCUAUGCAUAGGAUUUGUCUAGAUAAUAAUUGCUGGCUAAUCUUUGAUGCUUUUAAUUUCUAGAUUCAGGACAAACCCACAAAGAGGAUUCUGUACAAGGGGCAAUGCAGUAAUAGGUUAUAUCCAAUACCAAUAUCAAGACAUGUUGCAGUUCAUCAUCAAGCAUUCAAAGCUGCAUUACUUGGAUAACAAGUUAAUUCCAGUUUCUGGCAUAGUAGGCUAGGUCACCUAUCUAAUUCCAUUGCCUUAACUAUACUUAGAAAGUCUAAUAUUUCAGUACCUUUUGAUGUAUCACCUUCACUAUGUCAUUCAUUUUUACAAGGAAAAUUUAGCAAAUUGCCUUUCUCUCCAUAUGUCUCUAAGUCUGUAAUUCCAUUUGAAGUUGUUCAUAGUGAUGUAUUGGGUCUUGCUCCCUGUAAUUCCAUUGAUGGAUAUAGAUACUACGUGACAAUCAUUGAUGAAUGCACUAGAAAUUGUUGGUUAUUCCCUUUGCAUAAUAAAAGUGAAGUGUGUUUUGUAUUCAUUGGUAUAUAUCAGUUCAUUUUCAAUCACUUUGCAGUUUCAAUUAAAACUUUACAAAGUGAUGAAGGGGAAUAUACAAGUAAAGUUUUUCAAUCUUUCUUGUUAGACAAGGGAAUCACUCAUCAAAUAUCAUGUCCUCAUACCCCUAGAACAAAAUGGGUUGGCAAAAAGAAAGCAUAGACACAUUGUUGAAACCUCAAUCCCACUGUUACAAUCUACAUCUUUACCUGCCAUUUUCUGGUCUUUUGCCUGUCAAACUGCAAUAUACCUGGAUGCCAUCAUCAACUUUACACAAUCAAUCACCAUUUGAGGUCUUAUUUUAGUAUGUUCCAGAAGUCCAACAUCUCAGGAUAUUUGGUUGUGCAUGCUUUCCAUUAUUGAAGCCUUAUACCAGUAACAAGUUACAACCAAAAACCAAAAAAUGCAUUUUUCUGGGAUAUGCAUCUAAAUACAAGGGACACAUAUGCUUUGAAAUUAGUUCAAAGAGGGUUUACAUUUCUAGACAUGUCAUAUUUGAUGAGUGUGAUUUUCCAUAUCUUUCACUUUCACAAAAAACAUAUGUACUUCCAACCAGUUCCUUUUCUAAAGCUUCUUUAAAACCAGUGUAUGUCACAAGUGAAUACAAUGUUGUUGUAGCAUUACCAAAUCUAUCUAUGUUUAUUCCUAGCCUUACACCUAGACCUGCUAGUGCCAGUGAUCAAUCUUAAACACCAUCUAAUGUCAGUGGCUUAUUUGAGACACCAUUUGGUAAUGCCACAACAACAAAAGACACAAGACAAGCCAUUACUAGCACUUUACUUCAGUUUAUCUCCUCUACAAUCCCUAUGGCUCCUGAAUUCAACCAGAAAACUUACAAGUUGUUCUGCCUAUACCUCUAUUAAACUUGCAUCCUAUGCAAACAAGGUCAAAGAAUGGAAUUAUAAAGAAGAAAGCUUUUCUAGCCAUGACAUCUAAUAAUGCAUAAGUUGAUUUAUCCCAGAUUGAACCAGUUUCAUAUAAGUCUUCUCUUAAAUCUCCAGUGUGGUUUACGGCUACGGAAGAGGAAGUACAAGCAUUAUACUCUCAGAACAUUUGGUCUUUGGUCACCUUACCAUCAAACAAAAACCUUGUAGGGUGUAAGUGGAUCUUUAAGAUUAAAAGACAUGCAGAUGGAACCAUUUCAAGGUACAAGGCUAGAUUUGUGGAUAAAUGAUUCAAUCAAAAGGCAGGUAUAUAGACUAUGGUGAAACAUUCGAUCUUGUGGUUAAGCUUACUACAGUAAGGCUUGUUCUUGCAUUGGCUACACAUUUUGGUUGGUCUAUGAGACAGCUCGAUGUAAAAAAUGCAUUUCUGCAUGGAAUCUUACAAGAAUAAGUUUAUAUGACACAACCUCUUGGCUUUGUGGAUUCUCUACACUCUACCUCAAUUUGCAAACUUCACAAGUCCUUAUAUGAUUUAAAACAGGCUCUAAGGGCAUGAAAUGAGAGAUUUACUAAUUUCUUACAUUCUCUAGGUUUCCAAACCACUUAUGCAGACACAUCACUGUUUGUCAAACAUGUUGGUUCUGAGGUGAUGAUUCUCUUACUUUAUGUUGAUAAUAUAAUCAUCACAAGGAGUGCAAAUGAUGCCAUAAGAGAAAUCAUUUCUGCAUUAGCAACAAAAUUGAUAUCAAGGAUCUAGGACCUCUACACUACUUUCUUGGCAUUCAAAUUACACAUAAUAAAGAAGGAUUUUUCUGUCUCAACAUAAAUAUGUUAAUGAUUUGUUAACAAAAACAGAAAUGCAUCAAGCAAAGCUCUGUGCUACCCCUUGCUUACCUUAUAACAGACUUCUUAAAGAUGAUUGAGUACCUUUUAACAACCCUGAGUUAUACAGAAGCAUAAUGGGAACUUUGCAGUAUCUCACCUUUACAAGACCUGAUAUUGCAUUCUCUAUGCACCAGGCCUAUCAAUUCAUGCACUGUCCUACGGAAUCACAUUAUUUGGCUAUGAAAAGGAUACUUAGAUACCUCAAAGGUACAUAGAAUUAUGGCAUUCAAUAUGUUAAAGGAGGAUUGGAGUUAAAUGCAUUCAGUGAUGCUGACUGGGCUGGGAUCCCAAUGAUAGAAGAUCCACAACUGGAUUGAAUGUUUUCUUAAGAUACAAUCCAAUAUCUUGGUCUUCAAAGAAACAAAACACAAUGUCUCGUUCAUCCACUGAAGCUGAGUAUAAAGCAAUUGCUACAACAGCUGGUAAGAUUUAUUGGAUAAGACAGUUACUUGCCUUUUUACAAAUCUCAAUCCCAACUCCAUCUACAAUGUUCUGUGACAGUCUUUCAGUUAUUGCCCUUACCUACAAUCCAAUGAUGCAUCAAAGAACAAAGCACAUAGAGAUUGAUGUGCAUUUUGUGCGAGAAAGAGUUGCCAAACAACUAAUUCAAAUGCAUUUUGUAUCUUCCAAUGAAUAAUUUGCUGAUAUUCUGAUUAAAGCAUUAUCCGCACCAUUGUUUCAUACUCAUUGCUACAAUCUCAGGCUCCGUGGUUCCUCUCCUGAGCUUGAGGGAGGAUGAUAAUAGUAUAAGAUGAAUGGUCAGAUAGGGUGCCAUGUGUCAAUGGAUUAGUAUGGUUGGUAUAAGGUAGUUAAAGGUUGUUGAGAUUGUAGUGACUCAGUGUGCAAGAAAGCUUUGUUACUUAGAAGAAUAUAUAACAGUUUGUAAGAAUUGUAUUACUAAUAAGAAAAUAUACAAGAAUUCAUUUUCCCUCUCUCUCUCUCUCUCUCUCUCUAAAAACCUCCAUUAUUGUUCUGCAUUACUGCAACAUAAUAUGUUGGUCUAAACUACCUUGUAUUUUACAUAUUGUUGGCAAUUCUAAACAAAAAGCUUGAGUAUGUAAUGUCUUAGAUUAGUAUAUGUUUUCCGUUGUAAGUAUAUUAAUUUAAAUUUGUCUCUCGUGCUCUCAAUCACAAGAAUGUCAAGCAUUUCCAAGACAUCCACUCAAGUAAGUGUGUCAUGCAUAUGCAUUUACAUAGUAUAGGCUGUUUAGUUUUGGUGUUAACAAUUAAGUUUUGGGCUUGCAUGCAUGUUAAUUAGAAUGACAUGAUUUUAGAUCGGCAGAGAAUCCUAGUUGUGCUGCUUGUCUUAGCAUGUGUUUAUAUGCUGAUAACCCGUAUGUCCUUAUCCCAUUCAGUUUUUUAUCUGGCCAGGAUGAUAGGUCCUCAUCCUACUAAUUAGGUCCGCGUUUUUGUUAUGCCUCGCAUGCAUAUCUGGUUUGGUUGAAAAACCUUAUCUUGGUUAAUAACGUGUGAUUAGGUUUUGGUUGAAAACCUUUUUGUUCUAAGUCAGCACGUUUUUUAUGAAUGUGAAAUAUAUUGCAGAAAUAUAUCAAUUAUUUAUAUGAUCAAAUAUAUCAAAUCAAAUGUAUAAUCACUGUCAAACUUAUGAACUUUAAAUUAGGAAAAAAUGAAUAAGAAUAUCUGGCAUGUGAACCAAAAAGAGGCGCGAUGUCGCUGCCCUAAAGCCGUAUAUGCCUCCCUACAUGUAGGUUAUGGCGGUGCCUACAACUCCAAGAUACAACCCAAAGCCUCACAUGCACGCCAACGGCAGAAGGGAUUGUCAAGUAGUGAUCAAUUGACCAAGAAUUAUGAAGUAGGAAUGAAAAUUGAGAUGUGAAAACUGAGAGAGACAGAAAAGUUUUAGUGUAUUUUGUUUUGUGUCUGAGGUUUCAUAUUUAAAGAACUUCUCAUACCCUUUUAGAAAAGGAUUAUGACUCUUCAAAUAAAACACAACUCUUAAAUAUUAAAAAUAAAUAAAAUAAUAAUAAUAAGUUUUGAAUCUUUAAAAUAAAAUAUUAUUAAAAUAAUUAAAAUAACCAACAAUGAUUUGAUUGGAUGCCUAUAUAUAGGCAUUAGAUUAGGCUUUUAGGCCUCGUUUGGCACGCCGUAUAAGACCACCGGUGUAACAUCCCACAUUGACUAACGGAGAAGGGAUGAUGUGCCUUAUAUGUACAUGCCCACCUCCUAUAGCAUGAGGCUUUUUGGGGCCUCACUGACUUCAGAUUCUAUUGGAACUCAGUAGUUAAGCGAGUUUGGGCAAGAGCAAUCCUAGAAUGGGUGACCCCUAGGAAGUUCUUGCGUGAGUUCCCAGAAACAAAACUGUGAGGGCAUGGCUGGGGUCCAAAACGGACAAUAUCAUGCUUCGACGAAGUCGAGACUGGGAUGUGACAAAAUGGUAUCAGAGCCACUCUACCAUUCGGCGCAAGUGUGCCGACAAGAACGUCGGGCCCCUAAGGGGGGUGGAUUGUAACAUCCCACAUCGACCAACGGAGAGGGGGUGAUGUGCCUUAUAUGUACAUGCCCACCUCCUAUAGCAGGAGGCCUUUUGGGGACUCACUUGCUUUAGAUUCCAUUGGAACUUUGAAGUUAAGCGAGUUCGGGCGAGAGCUUCUCGAGUAGUUCGGGUGAGAGCUUCUCGCGUGAGUUCCCAGAAACAAAACCAUGAGGGCAUGACCAAACAAUAUCGUGCUACGGCGGAAUCGAGACUGGAAUGUGAUAACCAAAUAGUAUUAAUAGUACGAAACAUGUGUUUUGUGAGCUUCAUAUUAAAUAAGCACCGGAUUUUUUAAUCCAGGCCCACUUAUUUUAUACACCUCCAACCCGCUUGUUUAUCCCAACCAAAACCUUUGGAUAAUUAGUCGAGUAGAAUGGCUCUCUUUGCUUACUCCGUCAUUCUCUAUCGCUUCUUCGUCCCUCUCCUUCUCUCGCAACACUCUCCUUCCACUUUUUCACAUCGCCUGCACUCUCUUGUCUGGAUCCCAAGUUCAUCUUCGCCCUUCUUCUUCUUUUCUCUCUUUGUUCCUCCUUCCUCCUUACACACACACACACACACACACACCUCCCACCUACUCCAUUCGCCUUCGAUCUCUGACAAGUGACAACAAAACCUUCCAUAGGUUGAAGGAGGAAGACGAUGAUUCGAAUUCUUCCAAUUUGGAUUCUGACAAAGAAGGGAGCCGGGCUCCGACGAGGACGGGGAUAGCAAUUCGGAUCUGGGCUCUGACGAGGAGCCUGUUGGUUUAUUACCAUUGAAAAUAUUCAAUCUGGGAUUUUAAUUUUGGUUGGUGAAUCGAUGAGUGGGUUUGUAUGGAGGGUGGGAUUUGAUAAGUUAUAGUAAAUAUUUCUGGUAUUAUUUUGGGUAUUUACCAUUUGGAAGAGAAUUACUCCAGCGUGGAACACAGGUUUACUGUCAAAUCUUGUUCUUAUGUUCAAUGCAUCUGGUUCUUUAGCAUGUAUUUUUCGAACUUGUUUCUUCCUGCCAAAUAACAAAAGGCAUGAAAUUUAUUAUGAAUGCUUUGUGAAUGAGUUGCCUUGCUGAGCAUUUUCACAUUAUUGCCUCUUAUUAUGCAGGUUGUGUUGGCAGCUAAUGACUUGCCUUCUAUCAAUGAUGUAACUUACACUGAACUAAUUGAGAUUAUAUCAAUGAUGUAUCUUCCCUUUUCUUAUCUGGUUCAAUAUCAAACACGGUAUAAAUAAUACGAUCAUUAGUCCGAUACUGCACCAAAUGCCCGACUAAUUUAAUCAGUAUUAUCCGUAAUUUAAUCAGUAUUAUCCAGUGGCUAUUUAUCCUAUCCAACAGAAAUAGUCAGUACAUUCCGAGCUGCCAAACGAGGCCUAAGGUUUGCUGCUGCCGCAUAUAACACAUACAGGUAGAGAGGAUUAGUGCACGCGCUAGGUUUUUAGAAGUGAUCAUCAUAUCAUAAUCUUUGCUACUGUAGCGUGCAUUAGACUAGGUGGUUUUGGAAUGCUGCUUUUGAGUUUUGAAAGAAAAUAUACAAAAUAGAUGCAGCACGUGAAUAUGUUUUUGAGUUUUUGGGUUACUUCAUAUAGGAACGGCUAUCGUUUCCAUCUCAUUGUUUUGAUGGUUCUCAGGUCAAUGCAUAUUCACUACAAGUGUAGUCCUUAUUAUUUUAUCUGGGUUGUCUCGCAUAGUAAUAUUUGCACAGAGAACAUUAUACGAGUGUUGCAGCAAUAGUGUGUGAGGAAGAAAAGAGUUUUCAGCCGUGUGGUUUUAAAAGAUAAAAUUCAGUUUUUCUUUAUUGAUUUUCGUUGUGCUUUAAACCGAGACAAAUUAUGAAAAUAUGCUUUGUCAUUUUUGUAAUUGGUUGACUUUCAUAAACCAUUUCAUAUAUACAUUCCAUGAUCGCGUUAGUAUCUUGCAAAGUUCGAGGAGAUAGUUAUUGACGGCCGGGUUAAUGUCGUGCCACUUCCACUCAAAGGCUAAAGAGAGAUUGAGUAGUAAAGCGCAGAGACAAAACUGCCUACUAGUAUGCAUGUUUAGUUGAGUUGAUGAGUUUUGUAAGUCUUUAUGUACUCAUGUGUUUGUCUUGGCUUGGGAGCUCAGGGAUUUUGCCAAUGGUGGCCUCGUUAAAUCCUGUAACGAUCCGUCCCAAAUUUUAUGAAUUUCGAAAUGAGGGUAAAUUGGUAAUUUCACGUGUGGGAGAUAUUUUGCAUGUUUGUCUUUUUUGGGCUUGUUUAGUGUGUCAGUGGGGUCCAUCCCUUUGUUUUGGUCUCCUGGCCCUUUCUCCUUCUUCCCUCUCCCCGUCACUCUCUAUCUCUCAUCUUCAUUCUCUCUCUCUCUCUCUCUCUCUCUCUCUCUCCCUCCCUCAUUCUCUAUGCUCAUCUCUCUACAACUCUCUCUUUCUUUGAACUCACACACAACACCACCUCCACCAUCACUAGCCUCGCCACUCUGGCGAACCCCAUCACCCUGAGGACCUCCCCGUCGUGACCUUGGACCACCAAGGCUCCUCCUCCUCUUUCCCUCUCACUGUACAGUGUCACUGUCACUGUUCAAAAUGUUCUUCGGAGAACUCUUGCCGAUAUCGACAUGGGUAAGCUUUGGAAACACUCUAAACCUUCUCAUUUUGUCGUCGUAGUUCGUUUUUAUUGUUCUUGUGUGUUAUGGAUGUCGAAGCAUCACACAAACAGCUCGGGGAGACUUCCCCAAAUUCCGGCGAGAACCCAAGCCUUCUAGGCCAUUUUCCAGCCAAUUUCGGCCACGGCUGGCCACGACAUAGGUAUAAUAUUCUUCCUUGUUCUUGGGGCUUCAAUUUGGUAUAUUGAAUGACUAGUUUUAAUUGAGAUUUUGGGAUGAAUGGAGCUCUCCAAGCUCCCGCUUUCUUGUUUCUGGAGACCUGCUGAACCACAACCUGAAAACGGGUCGACCUGACCUGCAACCCAAAACCCAAUCCAAAACACUAUUCUGACCCGACUCGAAUUCGAAUGGAAUAUUCUUUGUGUUGAUUUUCCUAGAAUAUUCCUUGUGUUGAUUUUUUGUUGACUUUUACGAAAUUUUCCCGGGACCCCUCCUAGACUAAUUUCGAUGUCCUGAUUCCAAAUCCUCACUCUGUUUUCCCAAAUUCAAUUGUUUAAGUAAAGUUUUACUGAUUAGUCCUUUUAUGUGCUUAGGUACAAUUGUUAGUGACGACCUCGUCCUCUCUAGUUUGAGCGGCUCUUCGGUGACGAAGUAUCUGUGAGUGGACCCCUUCUAAAAUGCACGAUUUUAUUGCUAGAAAUGCAUACAUGAAAAUCAUGAUUAUAACUAUGUUUUAUGAAAUGUUUAUGGGUUAUCCGAACUAUGCUUUAUAAAAUGUCAUGCUUUAUCGGAUUUAUGUUUGUUGAAAUAUUUAUGAAUAUGGUUUUAUGAUAUGAUGUUUGAGUUAUUGAGCUCUGAUGAGAUAUAUUUUGGAAAGAUUAUGUUCAUAAUUUUAUGUGCUUACUUAGUGGAUAUUCAUAUAUAUAUGUGCCUUCGGGCGGGCAAUGUAGUGCCUUCGGACGGAAGAUAUAUGUACUUUCGGACGGACGAUGUAGUGCCUUCGGGCGAUUGUGAUACCACUACUAAGCACACUAUAUAUGAUAUAUGUUUUAAUCCAAGGUUCUAGGGCAUGCUAGUGUUUUCGGAAAAAACCUAUUAUUUAUUAUGCUAUAUGAGUUUCUAAAACUGGGGGUUAGUACAUUUGAAGAGUAGUUGAUUUUAGUAUUACUUAUAUAUAAACUUGGUCCGCUCAUGCUUUGUUUUACGCCUCCUUCAGGACUUAGAAUCGAGGCGUACACUCCCGCAUCUGUAUCUUCGAGUCCUCUUGGUGUAGGACCCAAUCCUUUGUUCGCACCUUUUCAUAAUAUUCCUUCUACAAUAUUCUUGAUUAGUUGUAUGCUUUGAACAUGUUCACACAUUUGCAUAUUCAUUAUAGUUAAGUUUAUGUGUUUUAUUUUACGUUCGUUCUUUCUUCAUAUUUUUACAUGCAUGUUAAUAUGGCUUCGUCACCUUCGGGUGUCGGUCAGAAUGUGUUUAUCUUGGUGUUUGGAGGAUAUUGGGGUCGGGCAUGUCAAAUCCUACAUCUUGUGUGCAUUUUUUAUUUAUCUUUUUAACUGCAUAUGUGUAGGAUAGUUUGAUAAGUGACUGAAAAUUGAAUUGGAUUUUUAAAUUGAAACCUAUUCACCCCCUAGGUAGUACCACCCUAGAACUUGCACAUAUUAUUAUAAAAAAUAGUAUUACUACCAUCUAUUUAUAUAAUCUCUAAUAGAAAUAAGAUAAACAUGUGUUGAUGGGCUCACCUCUAUUAGAGAGAUAAUACAAAUAGAUGGUAAGUAUAUCAAUUAUUAUGGAUUUGGGUUUUGUCCCGUAAGUGAUGUCUAUAAGAUCUAUAAAGUGGUAAUGAUUAGGAAUGCCAGCGGAGAGGUAAUGGUUAUGACUGUUGGUUCCUGGUUUUGGAGAAUAGGGAUUCUGAUUACACUUUGGUGUUUCAAUCAUUAUCGUCUCCUUUUGAUACGUGCCUUUAACCUUGAAAAUGAGCAUUUCCAACAGUUACCACUACCACCUUGUUCUCCGAUUUGAAACGGUCUAGCUUUUUCCUUGGAGUCUUGAAAGAUAGGCUCUCUAUAACUAUGCGCUCGAUGGCUAGUAUCAAUGCUUGAGUGAUGCAGGAGAGUGAUGUCAAGCAGUGGUGGACAAAGGAGCUGGAGAUUCGCGUGAGUCGUCUGGUUUUUGUAUUACUCGAGUAUUGAAGUUUACAGAUGAGGGGCAACCGGGGCAAGUCUUGUCGUUUAACAAGUCUCGCUUAGAGACUAAUACUCGUAGAAGAAAGGGCCCUGUGAGGGUUGAGGACCUUGAGGUGGAUGGGCUACCAUGCGCAGUUGAUACACCUUGCUUUCAUGUUUCAAGCUUUGUUUCGCUUAAAGAUGCCAUGAGGGGUUAGAGCUCGAAGCUAGGUAAGAUAUGCCAAUGCUAGUACUAGUUAUGUUUGUUUUUGCAAUUUUGUGCAAAUUUGGUGGUAAUUUGUUUCCAUUCAAUAUAUUUCAUUUACUUUUUUUUUUUUUGAAUUGUUAUUAGUACUCCAAAAAUCUCAUUCUACACUCAAAACUUUCUAUAUUAGGAAAUAAAAAUACAUUCGUGAGAAGUGUAAAAUGAGAUUUUUGGAGUCCCAAUAACACUUUUUUUUUUUCCUAUAUAGUUUUAUUUUAUUCCAAAGAGAGAAUAAUUGCUAAUGGUGACCGUUGUUGUGCCCACAAUUUGAACGAAUGUUGCGAGAGGAAUGUUGAAAAUUUGCUUAAUUGUGAAAAGCUUUUCUGGUGAGACUUUGAGAAAGCCAUCACGUGGGCUUUGCAAUUUGGUUUUGUACAGUCAAUUCACUUUCUGUUCCUCACAUCACCUUUGUUGGGUGAGAGUUGCUAUCUGCCCAUUACGUGUAACUUUUUACUUCACUUCCUCUUGCAUUUAUUUUGGCUUCUCAAGCAUUCUUGCUGGUGAGUGCAUAUAUUAAUGUGCACCUAGGUAGAGCCGUUCGACAGAUACAGAAAAAGCUAGCGCAGCAAAACCAUUUGGUGAAGAGGAAAAAAGUACUCUCUUGUUCAUCGGUUUUGGGUGCUGUCAACUUUAUUGAAAGAGCCCAAUCAUCUCCUCUUUGUGACUAAAGAUUGUCACACCAUUUGGAGCAAGAAGGAAACCUUUCUUUGGUUUUAGGGGCUGCUGCUCAUCUGAUAAAUUUCUCUCGCUUUUUUGCUUUUGGUGUUUUGCUUCACACUUCCGUAAGAGCUUUUGUAUGUUUGCAGAGCAAGAACUUGAGAAUUGUUCUUGGCACAUCUAUGUGGGAGAGUGACGUGUAUUUGGGUUUUAGGUUGUGAGAGCUUAAACAAUUUUUUAAUCUUUAUUUGAUAAAGAUCGUUUAGAAAGUGGGACUAAUAUUCUCACCGUUUCCUUACUAGACGUAGACUUACACCGAACUAGUAUACGUCCUUGUGUUAAUUGGAUUUCUGUAUUUAUCAUAUUUUACCUUGUUAAAUAUUUGCCUCAUAUCUGAAGCUUCCGCAAAACAAGGGAAACCAUUAUUAAACAUAGAAUAGUUGGCUAUGUUUGUGUAAAUUCAGGGGAGCUGCAGGUUUAAUUUACACAACUAAAAUUAGUUUUGGGUUUUUUUAUUCUAUAUUUAUAGGAGUGCCUAUCCAAAUGGUAUUUGCAAACAAUGAUGAAAUCCUAUAUAUGUCUGUGUUAUGAAACUUGAGUCAGCCAAACAUGAUUUUGUAUAUUUCUUGCUUUUAUGGUGGCAUUAUAUAUACUAACAAAAAUCAUUAACCUUCCUGCAUCUCCCAGGUUUAUUUCUGCAUGUGUUCCUAAAACACUAGAGAUGUAAGAGUGCGAGUUGAAAGAGUUGGUUUCUGAGUUCGAUCAACUUCCUAUAAUAUAUAUAGGGGUGUGAUAUCUACACACCUUAUUUUACUUCUCACACAUUUUUUUUAUUUUCGGCCAUCAGAUUGGAUGAAUUGAAGAAGAUCAACGGACAUAAAUUAUCAAGGGAUGUGUGAGAAGUAAAAUGAGGUGUGUGGAUAGCGGCUCUAGAUUUGCUGUCCCCAAAAAUAUGUCUCGUUUAUGUCUCCUUGCUAAUAUGUUGACACAUGUCAUUUAACUUAACCUAAAACUAACUCUGUUAAUUUUAUUUAUUUAACAUUUAAAUUAAAAAAAUCCCAAAUAAUAAAAAAAAAAACUGUUGGGUUAAUGAGGUGAGCAAAUGAGAGCUGUGAUUCUCUGAGGUCGUUCCCUUUGGGCAUUUUCCCCAACCUUUCAUCUCUUCGUAUAGGAAAUUUUGAGAAUCUGGAAUCUCUUUCAGUUGAAGGAGGAGCAGAUGAAAAUCUCAGCCAUCUCAACUCCCUGGAUAUUUGGGUAUGUCGAAAUCUUGUCUCUUUUCCCGAGGGGGGUUUGCCCACUCCCAACCUCACUUUCUUUGAUGUCUACGACUGCGAGAAUUUGAAGUUGUUGCCGGACCGAAUGCACACCCUCACCGCCCUUCAAACCUUAUUGAUACGCAGUCUUCCAAAUCUUGUCUCUUUUCCUGACGGAGGAUUGCCCACUCCCAACCUGACUUACUUUAAAGUAGGGGAUUGCGUGAAUUUGAAGUUGUUGCCGGACCGAAUGCACACCCUCACCGCCCUUCAACGUUUGGAGAUAUCCAAUCUUCCAAAUGUGGAGACGUUGCUCAAUGAACAGAUGCUCCCUGCCACUCUUCACGCUCUCGAAAUCUCUUAUGCAUCUUAUCUGAAAACUUUGGACGGAAAGAGUUUUGAGCACCUCACUUCUCUUCAACAGCUACAAAUCGAAGGGUGCGAGAGUCUCGAAUUCCUGCCAAAAGAGGGUUUCCGGCAUCUCUUUCUUAUCUGAAGAUCCGGGGUUGUCCUCCUCUGAAGAAGAGGUAUGGGAACAAAAAGGGAAAAGAUUGGAGAAGCAUAGCUCGCAUUCCUUGUAUAGAGAUAGAUGAUGAAAUCACCAUAUGAGCUUUCAUUUCGUUAACCCAACAAUAAUUAAAGUUAACAGAGUUAGUUUUAGGUUAAGUUAAAGGACAUGUGUCAACAUAUUAGCAAGGAGACACAAAAGAGACACUUUUAGGGCCAGCAAAUCUGGAGCUGUGGAUAGCACACAUCUAUAUAUACUUUGAGUUAUAUUGUUGUUUUGUUGGUUAGAAAGGGUUGUAGGUUUCCAUAUGCUUGUGUUUUAUUACGUCCAAAACGUAGGAGCUUUGAGCCAGAAAUGAAGCAUUUGAGAAUUUUCUUCAAGUGUGAUAGGAAACUGAACUUCCUGCUCAGGUGCUGCUAUGCAUUUGGCAUCAUUGGUUGAAAGAUUUAGUGGUACAUCUGUUUCAAUUUUGGCGUAGGUGACUGUACUUAUUAUCAUUUAAGAGAAUAGGGAUCAUCAGAUAUAGUGGUAAAGCCAUAAAUUAUCACAGAAAUGAGCGAAAUUUAAACAGGUAAAAGAGUAUAUGACUGUGAAGACACGUGAUAUUAUGAGCCUCUAGAAACACACGCGAGCGCGCACAAAUAUAUAUAUAUAUAUAUAUAUUUUUUUUUUUUGAACAAACACGUAGACAUAUAUAUGAAACAAUUGAAAAAUGUAAAAAAAUUCGUGAGAAGGAAAAUAAUUAUUUUUUGGGUAAUAACAAAUAUAAAUUAUGAAAAAAAAAAGAGGCUUAUUUAGACCAACUCUGACUCUUAGAGUAAGUCCUAAAAUUUACCUUCUAUUUCCCCUCAAUUUCCUUCCAACCUUAGGCCAAUUUGGGACUAUAGGUUGGGACUAUAGGUUAGAAGCUAAAAUUGGACCAAAUACCGGCCAGAAAAGUGGGCUGGAUUAGUGGUGUGCCCCACUUUUGCGUGUGAACGCGCUCCAAAACUUGGCAGCGCAGCAAGAAUGACACGCCCAUGCACGGAACGCACUGGGAGAUGAGCAGCUGGUGGUCCCAUGCACAUGGAUCUUGUUGGCCACCCAUCAGAGCCCAAUGACUCUUUUUCUCAUCCAAGGGUUGUGCUUCACUGGACCGUUGGAUCCAGGUUCGAAUUUGUGUUUUUUUUUUAGUUUAUAUUUAUAAAUUUAUUAAAUCUAACAGCUGAGAUUGAAUAUAAACCAAAUCUAAUUAUGGAAAAAAAAAUUUUAAAGUUAAAAUUUAAAUCCAACUGCUAAAAUAAUUUAAAAUUUUAUUUAACUCAAAAUUCACUCAAAAACUCUAUAAAUGCCUAUAUAUUUGUUCAAACAUCCACUCAAAAUUCACCUUUCUCCUACAAUUCUUUCAAUUUUUCAUUCUACCAUCUUCCAAAACCAUGUGUUUUGUGUUUAUUCAUCUCUAUCAUGUGUUUCAUAUUCUUCCAUAGUGUUUCAUGAGUUUUAUAUAUUGAUUUAGUGAUUUUUCAAUAUUGAUCGGGAUUUAAAUAUUUUUAGGUUAAAAUGUUCAUAAAAUUAAUUUAUGAUAAUCUACAUAAUUUUUUUAAAGUUAUUUUAAAAAAAUAAAAUGAUUAAAUUUAUUUUUUAAUAGUAUGGGGGUAAAAAUUUAACCCAUAAGGGUUAAAGUAAAAAAACUACUUCUCAAUUAAAACAUAAAUAUUCUGAGCUAAAAAUUUUAUGUUUUAACUCAAAUGUUGAAGAUGCUCUCAAAGGAGGGAGAAGAAACAGGAAAAAAGGGAGGAAGAGAAGGACGGGGAAAAGUGGGUAGGGAAUGCCUCAAACUUAAAAAAACUCAAAAUGGUAAAAUAUCGAGGAUUUGACAGUCCUCGUUCUCACGUUGAGGCAGAGCCAUAGAGAGAGAAGGGUAGAGAGAGGAUGGAGAACCAUAAGCAGAUAGAGAAGGAUGAGUGGGGCCAUGGCAGUGGAGACGGCGAUGUGGCUGUAGUUUGCUGCUCUGUUGCUUCUUCUUUGAAACCGCUUUCCUCUUCUGGUUCUCCACCCCCAAACUCAAGCUUUGAAACUCUGCAAUUCAACUUUCAACUCUGUAAUCGAGAAGAAGAAAGGUAACAAAAGAGAUGAAAGUACCAGAGGGGCGGAUUUAACUCGUAGGGUCAAUUUCUGACGAUUGAAGGUGCGGCCGCACCUCCUUAGAGCUUUGUGGCUUCCCCACUGAUCAGCUAUAGAAUCUGGUGUUCGGUGUUCCACAUAAACCCAAAAGCUAGAAUCUAGCUAUAGGGAUCAUCACAUCACAUAAAGCUCAGUGUGAAUUGGGAAUUUUCCUAGUAGCUAGUGGUAACUAGAGAUUUUGCACGAGAGCCUGAUGUCAGAAUACAAAGAAGUUCUUGUUCACCAUAUGUAUUCUUGAGAGAGAAAGAGAGAUUUGAGAGAAUAGCAAUCUUAGAGAGAGAAAUGAAUUGUAUCUUGUAUGUAUUGAAUUAAUGAAUGUGUUACAAUAUCUACACAUAUAUAUAGACAAGGCUAUCUUAGUCACUAAGUAAGUUAACAAACUUUAACUACCUAGCAACCUAAUCUACGUACACUUGUCAAUAUCUGAAACACCUAAUACAUCUUUACACCUGAUGGUUAUCUUGUUCGUAAUAACCAGCAAAGUUCAUCAUUAAGGUAUAGGGUUUUUAUCACAAAUGGUCCCUGACAUUGAUCAAACACAUCAUUUUGGUCCCUGACAUUGAAAAUCAAUAGAAAUGGUCCCUGACAUUGAUCAAACACAUCACAAAUGGUCCUUCCGUUAAAAACUUUUUGGGCAAUUUUCAAAGCUUCGUAACUCAAUCGUUUCUUAACCAAAUUUGACCCAUGAUAUAUCAAAAUGAAGAUAGGCAAGUGUAGAACAAGAUUAUACCGAUUUGGAAGCUCAAUGGUUGCCGGAGAUGGCCGGAAAGUAGCCUCAAAUGUGAUUAGUCCGCGAAAAAACUGGAAAACUCGCCUGAAAUGGGGUAAACUUUAAACAUUCAUAACUUCUUCAAUACUCAACGAAAUUGAGUGAUUCAAAAAUGAAAAUCAUACGUCUCAACGAGAAAAAGAGAAUGGUACCUUUAUUGACUACUAAUUUACUGUGGUUUGACCAUAAAAUGGCUUGAACUUGGAUAACCAUUUUCGAGUUAGCCAAUUUCGAGUCGUUUUCCGGCCAAACUAUGACAAGUUAGCCAUCAACAAAGAUACCAUUCUCUUAGUCUCGUCUAGAAGUAUGAUUUUUGUUUUUGAAUCACUCGAUUUCGUUGAUUAUUGAAGAAGUUAUGAAUGUUUAAAAUUUAUCCCAUUUCAGGCGAGUUUUCCAAUUUUUUUGCUGACCAGUCACAUUUAAGGCUAUUUUUCGGCCAUCUCCAGCAACCAUUGGGCUUCCAAAUAGGUACAAUCUUGUUCUACAUGUUCCUAUCUUCAUUUUGAUAUAUCAUGGGUCGAAUUUGGUUAAGAAACAAUUGAGUUACGAAGCUUUGAAAAUUGCCCAAAAAGUUUUUAACAGAAUGACCAUUUGUGAUGUGUUUGAUCAAUGUUAGGGACCAUUUCUAUUGAUUUCAAUGUCAGGGACCAAAAUGAUGUGUUUGAUCAAUGUUAGGGACUAUUUGUGAUAAAACCCUUAAGGUAUAUAUGUGUAUUCUCAUAUUAAAAAUAAAAAAUAAAAAAAGUAAAAAAUAGUGAAAGUCAUACAACGGGGUCAUAAAGUAAUUUCUCUUUUACAAAUAUGGUUUUCGAGCCAUUCCAAGCAUUUCUGUUGCAAGUUACAUAUGGCUAUUUGGAAGAAGCAUAAUAAAAUGAAGUUUGAAAGUAAGCUUGCUUCCUUUUCACGUCCUUGUUAUUUUAUUUUGGCCUGAAUUAAGUAGGUUGGAGUUUUCACUCUUGAUCAUGUGCAUGGUAUUUUGGAUAAGCAACUUGGGGUGUCUCUUGUAAUCUCGACUAAGUCCUGUAAACACCUACAAUUUCUGUUCUUUGGCAUCCUCCUCCAUUUUAUAGGGUCAAAGUGAAUAUGAAUGGCCUUGCUAAAAGUAAUCCAAGUUUUGUAGCUUGUGGUGAGGUUUUUCGAGAUUCUGUGGGUUAUUUUCUUGGUGGUUUCUCCUUGAGCUUAAGGCAUUGUACUUCUUUCUAUUCGAAGCUUCAUGUUGCCAUCUUAGUUGUAGAGUUGGAUCACACGCAGGGUUGGCAAGAUUUAUGGCUUGAAAGUAACUCUUCUACCGUGAUUUCUUGCUUUGCUUAUGGUUCUUUCUCUCCUAUUUGGUCGCUCUAGACUUGUCGGAAAACGGUAUUUCCCGGUUGCGGCACAUGGUAUUCCGUUGUUCUCAUAGAUUUCGAGAAAGGAAUGCAGUUGCUGAUAAAUUAGCCAAUUUGGGAUUUCUCUCGUCUUCACUUGUUUGGCAUGCCACUCCUUAUAGACAUUCUUCUUGUCUGCAUUCAGAUUUAUUAAGUAUGUCGACCCACAGGUUUGUCUCCUCUUUUUGAUAUGUCAUUUUCUUUUUUACCUAAUCUUUUUGGAUUCUCCUUUUUUGUUUUGUAGCUUGUCUUGCAGGUUCUUACAUUUUACGUGUUAUUUUAGAGAGGGUCGGUCAUAAGUCCACCCCGUUUUUGUUUGUAUUUUCUUUUCCAAGAAGGGUAAGUAUAUGUGUGAUAGCCCGUCCCUAAUCUUAAGAGUUUUUAAAGUUUUAAUAAAGGAUUUUACAAAAAUGCCCUUUGAGGUACGCGCAUUUUUUGAGGUUAAUCGUCAUGUCGUGCCAUCUAAGAUUUGUUUUCUUGGCAUAUCAUCGUAGUACUCGUCGCUACGGAUGCGUGGGCGUAGACAGUUCGUGUCGAAAAAGUUAUUGACGUUUGAAAUUUGGGAAUUUUAGGAAUUUUAAUUUUAGUAAAAUAUAGAAUUUCUUUUAUGAAAAUGGACGGCCCAGAUUUAAUGAAGAAUUAAAUGGAUGGCUGGGAUGAGAGAAAGAAGGUUUUGUGUGUGUGUGUGCGUGAGAAGAAGAAGAAUCAGAGGAAAAAGAUUGGGCAGAAAUGCCCAAUCGGGAAAAGAGAGAAGAAUGGAUCAAGAGGGAGUGAGAGAGAGAGUUCAGCGAAUGGAGAGAAUAGAGAGAGAGAAACCAGCCAAUAGGAACAGAGGACAGGAGGAAAGGAAGGAGAGAGUGGCGCGGGGGAUCGGCCGGAUCCCCCUUGGCCCGUUUUUGACCCGUCGGCAUCCAUGCCUAUUUCUGACGAUUUUCACCCAUUUUUCCGGCGAAUUGCUUCAAGAAACUUCAUGGGAAACACUCUAGGAGCCUUCCUCUAUCCAUUCCAUCUCAAAAUUGGAGAGAUUUGGCUUUGAAAAUGGAGAAAACCGCAAGGAGGGGUGCGGCGACUUUGGCUUCGAAUCACCCAAUCCCGAAGCAAUUUCUUUCAAUUGCCACCACCCAUAGCUUCCUCUUGAGGCCUAGAACAAAGCCCAAGCAUUGAUUGGAACGGCGGAGUUGAUUUGAAGACGAAUUGGAACUCACCCAAUUCUAGGGUUCUUCACGGUUUUGACGAAAUUGGAGCCUUUCCAAGCCAAAUUGGCCUUUGCCUCAGGUAUAAAGUUUACUCUACUUGUUGAGAUCUUCAAUUCUAUAUUUUUUGAGAAUUUUUAGAAAUAGUUGGAUUUUCCGGCGAGCCGAGGCGGCCAACCGCCACCCGUGGCGGCGCGUGGCCAGUGGCCCACCAAUGUCAUUCUUAGCAUGUUUUUAAUGUUCUAGGUUCAGUUUUGAUAAUUGAUUGACGUAAAUUGAGUAAUUGAACCUAAGUUAGUUACGAUUCGUGGUGAGGUGAAAAUGUGAAUUGACGAUCCGACCGUUGAUCGUCACCAAACUUUGAUACGUUGUAAUACGUAAUAUUUGAGGAUUAUAGGAACUGACGGAUUGGGAAUCCGAUUUACGGAUCUUCCGGAAACGGAGUUGUAAGUUUAUAAAAUAGAAUGUUAACCGUCACUUGAUUUUGACAACUGGCGGAGAUCCGACCGUUAGAUGGUAAUGGAAUUUUAUGAUGUUGCUCUAGAGAUAUAUUGUGGAACUCUGGAAGUUAUGGAUUGGAAAUCUGAGUUGUAGAUCUUCCGGAUCGAUCUACGUAGUGACAUGUUUUAUAUAAGUUAUAUAUUCUAUCAAUAUGAUUUCUGAGGUUUGAUUUGAUGAUUGUUCUAGGCCCUGAUCGUCAUGACGCCUUGAUGUAUUGUGCUAGGGAGUUGUAGGGCGAACUCCAGGUGAGUGGGCAUUAUUUUCUGUAUUUACCUAUAUACUACUGAAUUUCCCAGAAAUUGAAUUUAAAUGAAAGUAUGUUUUUAAAAUGCCAUGCAUGCAUAUUAUGAAUUAUAUGAAUUAGUAAUUGAUGCAUAUAUAUGUGAAUUGGUGUUGUGGACGCACAUGCGAGUAUCAGGUGAGUGUUAUGUUAUUUAUGUAAAUCAUUGAUGAUGUGAAUUGUGUUGAGAGCUCAUAACAUGCACCCCUGGUGUUAGUGCUUAUAGUAUUCAUCGCACCGUACACUCACCUUGGAUCCAAGUAGGUGCAUGUCGUACAGACCAUGAGAGGGUUCUGACAUGCUAGUCGUACAGAUCACUAGAGGUGGUUCCGACUGGUAGGUGACCUUAGAUUAUGUGCACAGAUGAUUGAUGAGAGAAACACUAGAGCGUAUUAUUACACCAUUCUUAUCGUACAGAUUACUUUAGGUAGUUCCGAUUUAUGUGUAGAGUAGUGCUGUACAGGUCACAGUGGUGACUCUGGUUGGAUUGGAUAUUGAGCUAUAGAAUUAACCGAACAGGACCAACUGCAGGGUCUCCGGUUGAUUCCUUAUUCCACCUGUUAUAUUGAUGCAUCUUUAUUAUGUUUUGAUGCAUAGCAUGGCAUAUUUUCUCGAAAAGUGUUAAAGACUUGUGAUUUGAGUUUUGAGAUUUUAUAUGGUUAUAUAUAUUCUAUUUUUCUGGGAAAGUAUACAGGUUUUACAGCGAGGGGUUAGAAAUGUUUAAAAUGAAAUGUUUUCGAAAAACUUUGUUUUACUAACCCACUUAAUUUUGUUUUGCGCCCCUCCAGGUUCAAGUUAGCAGAGCUUUGGUGGCCACGAGGAAUCCAACAAUGUUCUGACAAAAUUCUCAAAAGUAGGAUUCACCCUCGGGUGUUAUAUCCUAGUAAUUGUAUCUUUAAAGCUUCCAAACUGUGUAAAUGGUUACGUCACUCUCACGUGACGGCCAGCAUGCCCUCCUUCGGGAUGGGGUGUGUCAGUUGGUAUCAGAGCCUAGGUUGCAGUCCUGGACAUCUUGAGAAUUCCCUAGUGUCUUCUGUCAGAACUUUACCACCUCGUAGAGAGCCACUUUGUUCAGAUGAGCUUAGUUUCCCCGAUUUAAUUUAGUUAUAGGAGACUACUACUGAUGUGAUUCAGUCUAUUACCCAAAUGACUCCUUUUGAGAAUGGUUAUAGAUUGAAUUUGAAUCAAUUUAGGGAAAUGAAAGACCGGAUGGAGCAGAUCAAUGGCUUAAUCAUUUGGAAAAGGCAUUUCAGAUUCUGCAAAUUAAAGGAAUCUUUCUCUUGAAGGUAGGUCGAGAUGACUACCUGGUUUCUGAGUAUUGAAAUUGCAUCAUGGUGGAGAUAGGAGUCUUAUACGAUGUCACCAGAGGAAACAGCUGAAUGAGAAUUGUUUAAAGAGUUGUUUAAGAAAAGGUUUAUUCCUCCGGCAUAUAUGGACGGUAAGAAACAAGAGUUUACAAUUUGAGACAAGGAAAAGAAUGAGAAUCAAAGGAAGGAUGACCAAGGUAAAGGUCAUGUAUCUCAAGAACCUCGCAAGACUUAGAGCUUCAAAAGAAGUGGGGUUAAUUCUAGUUCUGCCAUCAGAGAUUUUAGUACCAUUGAUCAGAUACGAGGUGGUAGAUUUACUGGAGAUCCUAGAUUGCAGAGGCGAAGUGACUCUGGUAGAGGGAAUGUACCUUUGUGCUGUAAGUGCAAUAGCAUACACUUUGGAGAGUGUAGGCGAGAAAGUAGAUGAUGCUUUACAUGUGGACAAAUGGAACGUAGAACUGCAAGAUACUUAGAAUCUUUCGGGCUUGAUCAUGGGCACGUUAAACAUUCUUGGUUACUUUGCUAGAGUUUUAAUUGAUUGUGAUGUAGAAAUUUUAUGUUAUUAACGAUGUUGCCAAAGAAAGUAGUGAAUGAGCACGAUCGAGGCGUAUAUAUGUAUUUCUGAUGAAGAGCAAGAUGAUAAUAUUACACCCUUGAGAAUUGUUGCUUACUUAUCGAGACAACAGUGAGUUAUCAUUAUUGCGGGCUGCAGACCAUAAUAUCCAUAACUUAUUUGUUGGAUUCGUUAAGCAGGUAAACAAGUAGGUAAUUCUAUGUCGGUUAUGAUUAUUCAGGGUGUCCAGUGAUGGUGGAAGAAGUAGUUAUGCCAGCGAAUCUUAUCCCGUUAGACAUUGUGGAUUUUGAUGUGAUUUUAGGCACAUAUUGGUUGCAUUAUAAUCGUGCCAAUAUUGAUUGCUACGGGAAAUCAGUUACUUUCCAUCGUCUUGGAUUAUCAGAGGUUACUUUUGUGAGUGAGCAAAGUGGAAUGAGGCAUGCCGUUAUUUCUGUUGUGAGAACAAAGAGAUUGUUAUCAAAAGGUUGCCAAGGAUACCUAGCUCAUGUGGUGUUGCAGGAUCGUACUCCUAGUAUUUUGGAUGACGUACGAGUAGUAGACAUUUUCCUAAUGUGUUUCCGGAAAUAUUUACCUGGAUUGCCACCAGACAGAGAUGUGGUGUUCACUAUUGAAUUGUCUCCAAAUACAUAUUUUAUGUUAUAGAUUGGUUCCUGCAGAGUUAAAAGAAUUGAAAAUUCAGUCACAAGAAUUGGUUGAUAAAGGUUUCAGUCAACCUAGUACGUUACCUUGGAAAACCCCAGCUUUGUUUAUAAGGAAGAAAGACAGGACCUUAAGAAUAUGUAUUGAUAUUAGGUAAUUGAAUUGGGUAACGAUUGAGAGCCGUUAUCCAUUGUUGUGUAUUGAUGAUUAUUUGAUCAGCUCUGAGGCGCCUAUGUAAUUUCUGAGAUUGACUGGAGGUCUGGAUAAUAUUAGUUGAAGAUUAGCAGUGUGGAUGUUCAUAAGACUGAAUUCAGGACUCGUUAUGGUCAUUUCAAGUUAGUGAUGCCAUACAGAGUGACGAAUGCACCUGCUACUUUUAUGAGUUUGAUGAAGGAAGUAUUCCAGUGAUAUCUAGACCGGUUUGUUGUUGUUGCCAUUGACGAGAUUGAUAAGAUUAGAACGGAGCAUGCUAGAUAUUUUGAGUUGGUGUUGCAAUGAUUAAGGGAACGUCGAUGUAUGCUAAGUUUAGCAAAUGCUAAUGUUAGAUAAAUCAAGUGACAUUUUUUAGACAUAUUUUAUCUACGUAAGGUAUUCAAGUGGAUUCUUAAAAGGGUAGCAGCGAUUGAGAAUUUGGAACAAUUGCGAACCGUGACUGAGAUUCAGAGUUUUCUCGGCUUAGCAGGUUAUUAUUGAUAGUUCGUCCAAGAUUUUUCAAUCAUUGCUUUGCCUUUGGCGAGAUUGAUGAGAAAAGAGGUUAAGUUUGAGUGGGAUGAAAAAUUGUGAGUAGAGCUUCAGCAAGUAAAAUAUUCCCUCACUCAUGCAUCUGUUUUCGCACUCCCAGACGAUAGUGGUAAUUAUGUGGUCUAUAGUGAUACUUCUUUGAAUGUUCUUGGAUGCGUGUUGAUGCAACAUGGUAGGAUGAUUGCCUAUGCUUCACGGCCAUUGAGAUCUCAUGAGAUGAAUUACCCUACUUGUGAUUUGGAAUUAGCGGCUAUCAUUCUUACUUUGAAGUUAUGGAGACAUUAUAUUAUUGGUGAGAAAUGCAAGAUUUUUAUGAAUCAUAAAAGUCUCCAAUAUAUGUUUACGCGGAGAGAUCUUAAUCUUAGGCAACAAAGGUGGAUUGAGUUGCUUAGUGAUUAUGAUUGUGACUAGGGUGGUCGAGCUAAUGUUGUGGCUGAUGCAUUUAGUAGGAAGACUCCAGUGAGAAUUAAUGCUUAGUACGCUUGCUAUGUUCAUCUUCUUGUGGAUUUGAGAUCUACUGGAGUAAAGUUGGGUAUCAAAGAUCGAGAAGAAGCCUUACUUGCUAAUUUUCAAGUUAGACCUAUUUGGUAGAUCGUACUCGAGACCCAAACGUUUGAUGAAGAAAUUCAAGAAUUUAUUUAAAGCAAGGGAUAACAGGAAAAAGAAAGACCUCAGAGUUAGAGAAUCUUAUGGCAUGCCUAUGCAAAAGAACAAAAUGUAUGUACCUAAUGUUAUGGAAUUAAAGAAAACAAUUUUGGACGAAGCGCACGGUUCAUCUUAUACAAGGCAUCUUGAAGGUAUUAAAAUGUAACAUAUCAUUCGAAAAUUUUACUAUUGACCGAGUAUGAAAAGAGAAAUGGUGGAGUAUGUAAGUAGGCGUAUCAUCCGUCAGCAGGUUAAAGCGGAAAGAAAUAAGUCAUUUGGAUUGAUGUAGUCAUUUCUUGUUCCACGAUGGAAAUGGGAAAAUAUUACUAUGAAUUUCGUGGACAAGCUUCCUCGUAUACAAAAUAGUUAGGUUGGAAUUUGAGUAAUAAUUGAUCGGCUUGCGACGUCAGCGCAUUUUACUUCAGUAUGAGAACAUCAACCUUUCUAGAAGUGCAACAGUGAUUUAUCUGUCUUAUGGAAAAGAGAUUUGGGCAUACGGAUCUGUUGAACUUCUUGGGUAUGUUGGUCCUUCAGUUUGUUCCCAAGAGGAACGCCAUAAGGCCGUGGAUAGCAGUGUCUUGUGUUUCAAAAUUGUUAGAAUUGUGGACGGAUGGUAUUUUGGGGAGCAAAAGGUUCAACCACGAAAAGUCUGAAAAAAAUUUAAGGCCAUGAGGUAGUGGAGGAGACUACUCGGAAUAUUCAAGUAAUUAAGUCUAAACUGAAAGUGGCCCAGGAUUGUUAGAAGAGCCUUGCCGAUAGACAUGGCACGGAUCGGAUGUAUGAUGUAAGUGAUUGAGUAUUUCUGAAACUUUAACCUUGGAAAGGUGGGGUUCGGUUCGGGAAGAAAGGUAAGUUAAGUCCUAGGUACAUCAGACCAUAUGUGAUCACCGAAAGAGUCGGUGAAGUUACUUACAGGCUUGAGUUGCCUCCAGAGUUGUCGAAAGUGCAUAAUGUGUUCCAUGUUUCCAUGCUUCGAUAUUAUGUUUCUGAUCCUUCACAUAUGAUUUCUCCUUAAUCUUUGGAAGUUAAUCCGGAUUUAAUUUAUGAUGAGGAACCAGUGAUAAUCUUGGAUUGGAAGGACAAUUUCUAAGGAAUUAAACAGUGAAGUUAGUGAAAGUUUUAUGGAGGAAUCAUUCAGCAGAAGAAACUACUUAAGAGACAAAAGAUCGAAUGAGAGAGAUGUUUUUCAGGUUGUUAUAUGGAUAUUGAUGGAUUGUAAAGAUUGUGUAAAUUUCAAGGAUGAAAUUUUUUUAAGGUGGGUAGAUUGUAGAGAUGGCAAUUUUAACCGUGAAACCCGAUACCCGUGGAUAACCGCCCGAAUGGAUUAGGUUUGGAUAUGAAAAUUCGGGUAUGGUUUGGAUAUGGGGAAAAACCGUGAACUUUAUUUGGUUAUGGGUUUGGAUAUGGUUAUAGGGGUAUCCAAUCCAUAUCCGUACCCGAAUCCAAACCGAAUAUUAUAUAUAUAUAUAUUUGAUAUAUAUUAUAUUUUAUUCAAUUAAUUCUUAAAAAUUCAAUUUUGCAACCCGGAUUCACUGAUUCAGCAGUUGUGUAAAAUGACAUGAUUGUCCAUCUCAUCUUUAGAUCCUACGGUGAGGAUGAUGAGUUAGAGGGGUAGAACUAGAAUCAUCUUUUUAUCAUAGGGUUUCAGUCUUUCAGAUUAGGACUUGAAUCUUCUUUCUUGGGCGUAGCCGCGCAGGUAAGGCCAUGCAUGCCGCCGAUCCUGGCACGUGUGAGAGAAAAAGAGAGUGACAAUGAGAGAAAGAGAAGAGAGAGUGGUUGUCCAGAUAAUAGGGAGAGAAACAGAGAGGGAGGGGUUGGGAUGGUGAACAGAGAGGAGUAAGGUCCCCCGACUCCGGGACUCCCUCAGUGUCAGUCCAUGAAUCACUCUGGAUCGUCCGUUCCCUUUUGCGUGUCGGAUGAGUGGCUGGAUUUCGAAAGCUAAGUUCCUUUUUUUAUUGGAUUCUUUAUUGUUAGCAUAUAUUUUCAUCAUUUCAGCCUUUUUGCUGUGAAUUAUAUCCGGAUUUUGUUGCACUGUUUGGUCAGGUUUUGGGGGUUCCUUUAUUUGUUUCAUUCUCUGUCAUUUUCUUUCAUUUUGUUGAUGCAGCAUCUCUCUGUUCUGUGUAUUGUUCUUUGUUUUAAGGUCAGUUUUUUUUUUUGUUGGUUUUCAAUUCGUUGAUCUAUGACUCUGUGUUUAGAUUUUCGUUCGUGUAUGAUUAAAUGGGUAUUGGGUUUUGGUGGUUGAAAAUAUGUUUUUUUCUUGCUUAUGCUUCUUGCUCAUUUUCCUGGGAUUUUUUGUUUUGAGUUGCAAGGGUAAAGAAAACACUGAAAUCUUAGAAAUCGGUUUUGGCAUUUGUGUUAAUGCAUUUCCAUUUUUGGUUUGCAGGAUAGGUGGAUGCAUUGAGACCUAAAAAUAUUUGCGUGAACAUCAUAAAGUUUUCUAAGGCUCCAAACGUUGAAGGGUAAGUGUUUUGAGCUAUGUUCAAUUUUUAAUUUGAUUCUCUACUGUUGGGGAUGCAUCUCUGAUCUCUCCGUUCUGUGUAUUGUUCUUUGUUUUAAGGUCAGUUUCUUCUUUUUUUUUUGGUUCUUUUUGUGGGUUUUUAGUUCGUUAAUUUGUGACUCUUGUGUUUAGAUUUUUCGUUGGUGUAUGAUUAAAUGGGUAUUGGGUUUUGCUUGUUAAAUCAAUAAUUGUCUUCUUGUUUAUUGUUAUAUAUUUAGUUUACAUGUUAAUUGACUCAAUUUCAGUAUUAUACCAUGUCUUUGUUUACAUAUUAAUGGAUUUGGUUGUGUUUGCAGCAAUCAAAAUGUCUAAAAGAAAAUUUAAGUCUCAAGAAGAAACAAUAUGUACCCCAACUGAUUGUAAUCUAGCACCUACAUUACAUCCAAGUGCUGUGCAACAAGAAAUACCAAGUCAAAUUGCUCAGCCCCAAGAUAUACCAACUCCAAAUGAGGUCGCUGGUGAGAUUAAGGAACCUGGGGGUGAUGAUGGUGAAGGUAAUAAUUCGAGACUUCGCAGUUUGGUGUGGCAACAUUACACAAGAACACUAGUUGAUGGGGUGAUGAAAGCAAUAUGUAAUUAUUGUAGCAAGAAGCUUGGUGGGAACACUGUAAAUGGAACCAGCCAUUUGAGGCAUCAUGUGACGAUAUGUCCACGUCGGAGACAAAAAAAAUUGAAGCAAACACUAACCCAAAAAGUAGGAGAUGGGAAAGUAGAGUUGUAUACAUUUGACCAAGAAAGUGCAAGGAGAGCUCUCGCCCAAAUGAUAAUAUUGCAUGAGUAUCCUCUUUCCAUGGUUGAGCAUGUUGGAUUUAGAAACUUCAUGAGUGUUGUCCAACUGUUGUUUAAGGUUGUUUCAAGAAACACAAUCAAGAGUGAUAUCCUCAAAAUAUAUGAUUAUGAGCGUUUGAAAACAAUGCAAUUGUUGGAUGAAAAUAAGAGUAGAAUUGCCAUAACUACUGAUAUGUGGACUGCAAGUAAUCAGAACAGAGGAUUUAUGGCAAUAACAUCUCAUUUUAUUGAUGACUCUUGGACGUUGCAGAGCCGAAUAAGGUGAUAUUUUUAAUACUUUAACUUCUAUUUAAUUGUUGUCUAGCUUUAGAUUUAUAUUUCAGAUUGUUUAUUGUAACCAUCUUCAUUGUAAUUUUUUUUCAGAUUUAUUUAUGUGCCUUGUCCGCAUACCGCCGAGACACUUUCAGAUGUUUUGAUGGAGUGCUUGCUAGAUUGGAACCUCGAUCGUAAGCUUUCUACCUUAACAGUAGAUAAUUGCACUACAAAUGAUAAAAUGAUUGAUGUUAUUCUUGAAAAACUUUCUGGUAGUUCACUUUUGUUGGGGUGGAGGGUUCUUUCACAUGCGUUGUUGUGCACAUAUAUUAAACUUAAUUGUGAAGGAUGGUCUCGAAGUGAUUGGUGGUGGUAUUGAGAAAAUUCGUGAGAGUGUUGUUUAUUGGACAACAACACAAAAAAGAAAGGAAAAAUUUGAGGAAGCAGCACGUCAGUUGAAGCUUCCAGGCACUAAGAAAAUGGUGCUUGAUUGUAAAACUCGAUGGAAUUCCACCUUUUUAAUGAUUCAAUCUGCUUUGAUUUACAAGGAUGUUUUCCCUCGUUUGAAACAACGAGAGUCGCAAUAUAAGUGUUUGCCUGAUGAUAGAGAUUGGGAGAUGGCAAGAGAGAUUUGUGAGAAGUUAAAGUUGUUUUAUAAUGUCUCCGAGUUGUUUUAUGGAACUAAGUACCCUACAACCAAUCUUUAUUUUCCAAAGAUUUGUGAGAUCAGGUUGUCGCUAACUCGGUUGCUUACCUCUAGACGUGAUGAAAUAAAAAAUAUGGCAAGAAGUAUGAUUGAGAAAUUUGAUAAAUAUUGGAGUGUGAUUCAUGGAAUAAUGGCUGUAGCUACUGUAUUGGAUCCAAGAUUCAAGAUGAGGCUGAUUGAGUAUUUCUUUCCGCUUAUGUAUGGGCAAUAUGCUUCGAAUGAAAUUGAUAAGAUUCGCAAAUAUUGUUAUGAUUUGAUAAAAGAGUGUGGAUCUAAUCAUAGUUCUAACAUGGGUCAUCAGCCAUCAUUCACUUCAUCUCAUUUGAAUCAAUCUGACUUUGAAGAGAUGAAUCCUUUAAUGGAUAACUUUGACUUGUUUGUUUCUAGUACUGUAAGUACUGAUAAUGAAAAGUCAGAAUUAGAUCACUAUUUGGAUGAGGCUGUUUUGCCUAGACAUCUGAUUUUGAUAUUUUGGGUUGGUGGAAAUCAAAUGGGACUAAAUAUCCUAUCUUAAGUGUUUUGGCAAGGGAUAUAUUAGCUAUUCCUAUAUCUACAGUUGCUUCUGAAUCAGCUUUCAGUACUAGUGGGAGAUUUGUAAGUCCACACCGUAGUAGACUUCAUCCAAAGACAUUGGAAGCCUUAAUGUGCGCCCAAAAUUGGUUGUGGAAAGAAAUUCAAGGUACUCCAAAGUAUUAAUUUAUUUUCAUCUUAUAUUUGUGCUGCUGUGCAUGUUCUUUAAUCUUAAUUUCGAACUUAUUUUUCAAACUUAAUUAAUUAGUAUGCAUUCAGUUUUUAGAACUAAUUUAAGUCUUCAAUUUCAUGUUUCACAACUAGCUUCUUGUUCUAAUGCACACGUUGGUUGUUGCACUUAUUUUGAAGAAAUGGAUAUGGAUGAGGUAAGUAUUGGCAAUUAUAUUAUAUGUAUAUAAAUAUCUUCUUUGUAGAUUAUAUGUGUACAACGAUUCAUAAUAAUUAUUUCGUCAUUUUCUUAAUAAUGUAGGAUUCAUGCUCCAUUGAUGGGUGUGAAGGAGGAGAUGCAGGAGCACCAUGAAAUAAUGAUGAUGGCAGCCUUGGCGGAACUAGAAGCAAAUUGCAUAUAUCUCGUUCUUUUGUCGUCAAUAUAUUAUUAUGUUUUUUGUAAUUGGAAGUCGGAUGAGUGGUUGGAUUCUUUACUGUUAGCAUAUAUUUUCAUCAUUUCAGCCUUUUUGCUGUGAAUUAUAUCUGGAUUUUGUUGCACUGUUUGGUCAGGUUUUGGGGGUUCCUUUAUUUGUUUCAUUCUCUGUCAUUUUCUUUCAUUUUGUUGAUGCAGCAUCUCUCUGUUCUGUGUAUUGUUCUUUGUUUUAAGGUCAGUUUUUUUUUUUGUUGGUUUUCAGUUCGUUGAUCUAUGACUCUAUGUUUAGAUUUUCGUUCGUGUAUGAUUAAAUGGAUAUAACCGAUAACCGAUUGAAAAUCCGUCACCCGGUGGAUAUGGUUAUGGAUAAUCCCCGAUUGGUUAUUUUACGGUUAUGGGUAUGGCUAAUUUUUGUGGUUAUGGGGAUGGAUAUUGCUUUUCCGUCCCCAAACCAAACCGUUGCCAUCCCUAGUAGAUUGUGACAGCCCGUCCCUAAUCUUAUGAGUUUUUAAAGUUUUAAUAAAGGAUUUUACAAAAUUGCCCCUUGAGGUACGCAUAUUUUUCGAGAUUAAUAGUCAUGUCGUGCCAUCUAAGAUUUGUUUUCUUGACAUAUCAUCGUAGUACUCGUCGUUACGGACGCGUGGGCGCAGACGGUUUGUGAUUUGGAGUUAUAUCGAAAAAGUUAUUGACGUUUGAAAUUUGGGAAUUUUAGGAAUUUUAAUUUUAGUAAAAUAUAGAAUUUCUUUUAUGAAAAUAGAUGGCCCAGAUUUAAUGAAGAAUUAAAUGGAUGGCUGGGAUGAGAGAAAGAAGAUUUUGUGUGUGUGUGUGUGCGUGAGAAGAAGAAGAAUCAGAGGAAAGAGAUUGGGCAGAAAUGCCCAAUCGGGAAAAAAGAGAAGAAUGGAUCAUGAGGGAGUGAGAGAGAGAGUUCAGCGAAUGGAGAGAAUAGAGAGAGAAAAAACGACCAAUCGGAACAUAUGACAGGAGGAAAUGAGGGAGAGAGUGGCGCGGGGGAUCGGCCGGAUCCCCCUUGGCCCAUUUUUGACCCGUCGGCAUCCAUGCCUAUUUUCGACGAUUUUCACCCGUUUUUCCGGCGAAUUGCUUCAAGAAACUUCAUAGGAAACACUCUAGGAGCCUUCCUCUAUCCAUUCCAUCUCAAAAUUGGAGAGAUUUGGCUUUGAAAAUGGAGAAAACCGCAAGGAGGGGUGCGGCGACUUUGGCUUCGAAUCACCCAAUCCCGAAGCAAUUUCUUUCAAUUGCCACCACCCAUAGCUUCCUCUUGAGGCCUAGAACAAAGCUCAAGCAUUGAUUGGAACGGCGGAGUUGAUUUGAAGACGAAUUGGAACUCACCCAAUUCUAGGGUUCUUCACGGUUUUGACGAAAUUGGAGCCUUUCCAGGCCAAAUUGGCCUUGGCCUUAGGUAUAAAGUUUACUCUAAUCGUUGGAUUUUCCGGCGAGCCGGGGAGGCCAACUGCCACCCGCGGCGGCCCAUGCGGCGGCACAUGGCCAGUGGCCUGCCAAUGUCAUUCUUAGCAUGUGUUUAAUGUUCUAGGUUCAGUUUUGAUAAUUGAUUGAUGUAAAUUGAGUAAUUGAACCUAAGUUAGUUACGAUCCGUGGUGAGGUGAAAAUGUGAAUUGACGAUUCGAUCGUCGGAUCGUCACCAAACUUUGAUACAUUGUAACACGUAAUAUUUGAGGAUUAUAGAAACUGACGGAUUGGGAAUCUGAUUUACGGAUCUUCCGGAAUUGGAGUUGUAAGUUCAUAAAAUAGAAUGUUAACUGUCACUUGGUUUUGACAAUUGGCGGAGAUCCGACCAUUGGAUGGUAAUGGAAUUUUAGGAUGUAGCUCUAGGGAUAUAUUGUGAAACUCUGGAAGUUAUGGAUUGGAAAUCUGAGUUGUAGAUCUUCCGGAUCGAUCUACAUAGUGACGUGUUUUAUAUAAGUUAUAUAUUCUAUCGAUAUGAUUUCUGAGGUUUGAUUUGAUGAUUGUUCUAGGCGCCGAUCGUCAUGAUGCCUUGAUGUAUUGUGCUAGGGAGUUGUAGGGCGAACUCCAGGUGAGUGGGCAGUAUUUUCUGUAUUUACCUAUAUACUACUGAAUUUCUCAGAAAUUGAAUUUAAAUGAAAGUUUAAAAUGCCAUGCAUGCAUAUUAUGAAUUAUAUGAAUUAGUAAUUGAUGCAUAUAUAUAUAUGUAAAUUGGUGUUGUGGACGCACAUGCGAGUAUCAGGUGAGUUUUAUGUUAUUUAUGUGAAUCAUUGAUGAUAUGAAUUGUGUUGAGAGCUCAUAACCUGCACCCCUGGUGUUAGUGCUUAUAGUAUUCACCGCACUGCACGCUCACCUUGGAUCCAAGUAGGUGCAUGUCGUACAGACCAUGAGAGGGUUCCGACAUGCUAGUCGUACAGACCACUAGAGGUGGUUCGGACUGGUAGGUGACCUUAGAUUAUGUGCACAGAUGAUUGAUGAGAGAAGCACUAGAGCGUAUUAUUACACCAUUCUUAUCAUACAGACUACUUUAGGUAGUUCCGAUUUAUGUGUAGAGUAGUGCCGUACAGGUCACAGUGGUGACUCCGGUUGGAUUGGAUAUUGAGCUAUAGAAUUAACCGAACAGGACCAACUGCAGGGUCUCCGGUUGAUUCCUUAUUCCACCUGUUAUAUUGAUACAUCUUUAGUAUGUUUUGAUGCAUAGCAUGUCAUAUUUUCUCGAAAAGUGUUAAAGACUUGUGAUUUGAGUUUUGAGAUUUUAUAUGGUUAUAUAUAUUAUAUUUUUUAGGAAAGUAUACAGGUUUUACAGCGAGGGGUUAGAAAUGUUUUAAAUAAAAUAUUUUCGAAAAACUUUGUUUUACUAACCCACUCAAUUUUGUUUUGCGCCCCUCCAGGUUCAAGUUAGCAGAGCUUUGGUGGCCACGAGGAAUCCAACGGUGUUCUGACAGAAUUCACAAAAGUAGGAUUCACCCCCGGGUGUUAUAUCUUAGUAAUUGUAUCUUUAAAGCUUCCGAACUGUGUAAAUGGUUACGUCACUCUCACAUGACGGCCAGCAUGCCCUCCUUCGGGACCGGGUGUGUCAAUAUGUCCCCUCACUCUUUCUUGUAAUUUUUUAUAAAGAGGGAUAAGGUGUAUGUCCUCCCUUUUUUUUUUCUAGUAAUUUGUUUUUCUUGUUUUAUAAGGGAUAAGUUUAUGUCUCCUUAACUAAGGGUAACCUUUUUUUUUUCAUAACAAUAAACUUUGCUCGUACUGCCGAGGUUUUUCAAUUCUUUCUUGUAAUAGCAAAGGAGACAACUUCACAUUUUAAAAGUAAAAUGAAAAAGGAUUUUUCCAUGCAAUAGGACAUUAUUACAAAAGUCGACCAUUUGUGUUUGCGUAGCCGUAAGCUACUACCAAACCAAGAAAUAGAAAAGGGCCAGUCAUUUUCUUAAGAUAACAUUAAUCUAUCUGAUCCAAGAAAGCCUUGAAAUUCUUGUUCGAAGACCCCCCUUCACUCACAGCCUCUCUUGCCAAAUCUUUCCAUUUCUUAGCAUUCCUUCUCAUCUCUUCACCAAUCUCCCCACUUCCCAUGACCAACUCCAAACACCUCUUGAACUCCUCACCCGUAACAAUCCCCUCCUCAUUUUGUGUCACCCUCAAUCCUGUCUUCCAAGUGUCUUCUAUCAACUUGGCAUUCGUCCCUUGGUCCGUCCACUGAGGAAACGCCACGACAGGCACCCCCGAAACCAGGCUCUCCAAACUUGAAUUCCACCCACAAUGUGUCACAAAGCAACCCAACGAAGGACUCGAGAGAACCGCCACUUGACUACACCAUGGCACUAUCCUCCCGAGCUCUUCUAAUUCCUCUCUGCAACUCAACAUCUCUUCUUCUUUCUUCGCCUCGUUAUCGUCUCCCUUCUUCUCGACUUUAUCUCUAAUAACCCACAAGUACGGACGGCCACAAUCCAACAACGCCUUCGCGAUUUCCUCCAUUUGGGCCUUUUCCAACACAGAAAUGCUUCCGAAGGAUACAUAAAUCACCGACCCUUCCGGCUUCGAGUUCAGCCACUCGAGGUACGAAGAGUCCUUUGAUUUUUGGAAAAGAUCGCCUCCAAAUGACUUGUCCGAUGGAACCUUGCUGUCCAAGGAAGCAGACCGAAUCAGUGGCCCGAUUCCAAUCAAAUUGUACUUGUCAAUUGCUUUUAAGGCUUCUGGCUCUAGCGCAUCGAACGUGUUCACUAGAAUGGUCGGAUUGGUUUCUCUCUCCAGCAGAUCCAUCUGUUCUUGAAACAACGGGAGGGCGAAAUUGUACGGAUUUGUAUCCACCAUGAAGGAGGGAAGGUCUCGGCUUGUGAGAGAUAAUGGCAAACCUGGUAAUUCUAUUGAACAUGGAAGGACAUCGUUCGUACCAGAACUAGUAUUAUCCCGGAUGAGAUCUUUGUACCCGUUAAAGUAAUAGUAGUAGAUGUCGAAAACUGUGGCUGGUUGAAUCCAAAGCAGUACGUUUUGGAGGUGAAGUUCAUACGCCACGUCCGCCGCCCAAGGGAGAAAUGUUGUGUAGACUAGGCAAGUGUAAGGGUGACCCUCGUUUGCACUUGAGACUACAAGGUCGGUGAUGGCUUGUGCUCCGCGGCGCCGCAGCUCCAAUGCGUAGUGGUCGUUGUUGUUGGUACGAUUAAACCCGUCGUCGUACCCAUCAGAGAAGAGUGAGUAGGUCAAUCCAUCUGGAAUUGAGUCAUUGCCUAUGCGGUGACGGGCGGAAAGGCAGGUAACGAAGGUGACAUGGGCGCCGGUAGUGUUGAUAAGACGCUUGGCGAAUUGGAGGGACGGGUUGAUGUGGCCUUGUGCCGGGAAUGUGACAAGUAGAAAGCGGUGUUGCACCAUGGCGGCGUAUGCGAUUGCGGAGUUGCGCGGUGGAGCGUGGAGGUGUUGGAAGUAGAAUAAGUAGGUACGUAAUUGAUUGGUAGAAUAUUUGUUUCUGUGGGCUUAUUAGCUGAGUGAAAUUGAAAUUCUUGUGG
rnacentral:lncRNA from 1 species